rnacentral:lncRNA from 1 species
CCGGUGUUUCCGGCACGGAGGAGGUCGGUGAACAGCGUUGCAAAGAUGCAGGGCAGCGUUGCCAGUCAUGCGCGGUGGUGUGACAUCAUUGACGGAGGACUGGAAGUUGGAUGCUUCGGCGGUGAUGUCGCAUGCGAUGUGGUGUUGUGUAGGAGGCAACGUGAAUACCAGUGGCUAUGCAGAUAUGUGGUGCUCGUUGCUCGCUUUUCGGCGAGUUGUUGGUUGUUUACAUGUUGUGUGGUGAUUUUGUGAUGAGCUAUGGAUUGUGUUUGCGGUGGAGUUACAGAUUGUCACGGUUUAGUUAUGAAUACAAGGUAACAACACACACUUAUCACCACCAAAAGCCAUUUCAAUCACCAUAAGGGCAUUGGAUUUUCUCUUUUUAAGAUGAAUUCUUCACACCCUUUUUAAAAUCACUCACUUGAAAAGUGGCAGGAAGUACACUUGGGUGUUUGUGCUUUCUACUUUGUGUUUCAGAAAAAUUGAAAGAGACCCAAAUUCCUAUAAAGUGUAAAUACGAUGUUUUUAUGGAGAAGGAUGGAGAUUAAAGGUGAUGUUGGUCGUGAUAUGAAAAAUGGUAGAUUGUUUCAUGUAUGUGUUAGGUUGGUAAUGAUGAUUAAGGAUUGUUUUGAGUGGAGAGUGGAGCAUAUGUGAUGGUUUGUGUUUAUGUGUUGACAGAGAAAAAGUGGUGAUGAGAAUGAUGAUGAUCAUGGUGUAUCGAAAAGAAAAAAAUUAUGGUUGUUUUUGUUGUGAUGAAGGUGAUGAAAGUUAUGAACCAAAUCCCUAAGAGAGUAGCGUGAUGUCCCUUUUAAGAAGAAAAAACCGAUAGAGGUGUAUUGUGAAGGAAGUGGGCAAUCCCUCUUUUUCUGAUUCAUUGCCAACUCCUCAUCUUGCAUUCCAAUCAAAUUGUGUUUCUCCUCCACCAAUAGAGAAAGAGUCCACAAAAUGAGACCCACUCAUUUCCAUCUCACUUUAAGAGAUCUGAGAGAUAUUUUGACUCUCUCUUGGAUUAAUUACACGCGUUUUAGGGAGAGGGUCCCCUUAUUGGACAAACUUGUGGCACAAAACUUAUUGGAGGGUUUCCUAAGUGUCUAACAAUAUCCUUAAUUAUUAAUUUAUGAGAUAAACUGAGUUAAAACAAAUUAAUCACAUGAAUCUCAAACAAUUUUAUAUAAUCAAAUAAAAAAAUCACAUAGUAAAAUCUAUUUAUUUUUUAUGAACACGUUGACGAAAAAACAAAAAUAAAAUGAAUCAAAAUAAAUAAAAAUUGUUAGAACAAGAUUUUGGUUCUGCAAUAUAUCUCUAAGUUUUGAUGAUAACAAAGAAUGAAAUAAUUUGGUACCCUGAUAAUUUUCUCUAAGUGUGCAAGUUUCUAAGGAAAAAUGAAUCUGAGGAAAACGAUAUCUGGCAUCUAACGUAGUCCAAAAAAGCUUAUCCAAAAAUGAAGAAAUCAUAUCUGACUCUGAACAAGAACAUUUCUGAAAGAAUCACAUACAUAAUCUGACAUUGAAGUUCAUAUCCGAUGUCUGAAGACUCUACAUUUGAUGACUCUGAAAGACAACAUCAAACACUCUAUUUGAAGACUAUUCAAUAAACAACUAUUUGAAGACCAGUUAAGAGAAUAUCUAAAGACUACAAGAUUCUGCUCAAAGACUCUGACUCUGCUCACUCUGAUUCUCACUCAACAAAUCAUCUGACUCAUCAAAAUCAGAAACUUAAUCAAGAAGUAGUCUAAGUAUGGUACAAAUCUCUAUAAGGAAAUUACGGAUUAUGCUCCAAUACUGCUAUGGAAAUGACAAGAAAGUUAAUUUCAUUAAGUCUAAUAAUGGACAAGAAAUCUCCCAUAAUUUCCCUCCAACAGUAUCAUCUCAAAGUAUUAUAUAAAGGCCUCAUCAUCAUUCUGAAAAACAUAGAAUACACAAGAAUUCUAUAAUACAUUUCAUCUACAUACUCAAUAUACUUUCAUUGUAAAAUUCAGUAAUCACACAAGAGUUGUUGCUCAUAGUGUGAUCAUUGAUCCGUGUUCUUAAUUGUGUUGAUGCUGCUUACUUAUAAGCACUAAGGCAAACACGCGUACUUCUAUAAAUUUGUUGAUAUUCCUCAAGUGACUUGUUUAAGUCUGUAGACUUGAGAGAAAUAAGAGAUUGUUGAACUCUUAGAUGUUUUUGUAAUCUAUUGAGAUGAUUGGAUUAAGUCCUUUUUGAAGGCGAAAUCACAUUGGCCGGGUGGACUGGAGUAGCUUUGAUUUUCAAGCGAACCAGGAUAAAUUUCUUAUGUUGUUAGUAUUUUCUUUCGUGUGAGUGGUGUUGCAAAAGUUUUUUAUUAUUGGGAAAACAAUUCAAACCCCCCUUUCUUGUUUUUCUCUACCUUUAAAAAUUGGCCGCAAAAAUACCUAGAAAAAUAAAAUAAAUGCACCAGAAUGAUCAACGUGAAAUAUACUUUUGGAAAAUAUGUAGGUUUUGAUCAAAUUUUGAAGUAAAACAUGCCCAGUUGAAAAGGCUCAAGCUAAUCAAAAUGCGGUUGUAAGAAGAGUCAAAAAAUUAAAAUGAGAACGCCAGGUUAAACUACCUGAACCAUAGAUUAAUAAAACUAACGUCUGCAAGCUCGAUUUUGAAAGUUUUUGCCCGCUAAUUUACGUACAUUCAAAGAACAAUUCAACCAGUUUGUCUGUAGAUCCGAAAACUUAUUUUGGUUGACCUAUGGUCGACUUCACAUAAUAUAUGAGGCGAUGAAGAUGCAUAAAAUGCAAUUAACUCAAUUUUUGAAUUUAAAACGAAUUGAAAAUUGACUGAAUGUUGACUUUACUAACUGAUGCAAAUGUUUUUUAUGAAUGAAUGCUUGGGGGAAAAUCAGGGUAUGACAAUAUCACACAAGAGAAUCACACUCUUGAUGAAAAAUAGAUAAGCAUGGAUACCAGUACAACCAAAAACUCUUUGAACUAUUUUUCACGCACAAGGCGUUAAGGCAACUUUAGUGAAAGAAUGUAAAAAUGAGAGAAGAGUGAAAAUAAGAAAAUGAUAGUAGGAAUUCAAAUUUCGUUGUGAUUGGAAAUGAGGAGAAUCCUCUUUUAUAUAGGAAAUUAUUUGGAUAAAAAAGGAAAUGAUCCAUGGACCAAAUUUAAUGUCAUAAUUAAUCAUCUGACAAUAAAAUUUAAUGAUCCAUUAGGCUAACCGAUUAUGAUCUCCAAAAUGUGGCAACCCUGAUUCCGAAAAAAGGAAACCACUAAUGGUUAUUGUCUUAAUUGAUUAGGAGUGUUUCUAAUCGAUAAGGAAGUCAUUUCCCUUUACCUAAUCUAUUAGAACAAGUCCAUGAUUGAGUAGGCAACAUUAAAUCUUCCCUAAUUGAUUAAAAAUAAUUUGUAAUCACUUUGUAAUCAAUCAAUCACAAGCCUUGAUAUAUUUCAAAAAGAUUUGAAUAUGUUUUAGAAAAAGAGAGAGGUUUAAAACUAUUUUUCGUGCGCGCACAUGAGUAUGUCUAUGUGUGUGGGUAUGCGCGUGCGCGCGCGCGUGUGUGUGUGUGUGCGUGUGUGCGCGUGAGUGUGUGUGUGUGUGUGUGUGUAUGCGUGUGUGUGUGUUUCCCUAGUAUCUUAGGAGGUACUCUUAUACCUUUACAAUAUAUUGAUCACUUAGACACAUGACCAGUCAAGAUUUUAUAUUUGUACUCUUUCACAAUUUUAAAGCUUCAAGAUCCUUUGCUAGAUUCAUCAAUGAUUCCACACUUCAUCUGGGUCUUGACUUCUUUUGUCUUAUAAGAAUUUAUAUGACUUUUUUAAUAGACACUAUCACUCUAGGUUGCUUCAUUAGAUCUCUUCAAUGACUCCACCAAAUGCUACUUGAUAUUAAGUAUUAUCAGCUUCAAAACCAACAAAUCAUAUGCUAUUAAGAUCAUCUGCAUAUGAGUGUACCUUUAAGCACAUAGCUCCACAAGAUGAAACAAAGACUUAAGUGCGGAAGAUAAAAUAUAAGAAAUUAAAAGAGAAGAGUUAAAAAUGCACACCGAUAUUUAUACUUUGUUCGGCCUUAAACCACGCGGUCUACUCAAGUCCCCAAGAGUCCUGCCUUUUGAGUUUCACUCUUAACUUAAGUUUUUAUCACAAAACUAUUAUAUAACCUCUUUACACAUAACUUUUACUCAUUUUAGUUUACAACCUUUAUAUUAAUUAUAAUGUCACAAGAGAACAAAACUCUUGAUAUACAAUUAUAGUACGAUCUAAUCAAACAUUAAAUUACAUAAAUCUUACUUUAAGAGAGAGAGAGAGAGAGAGAGAGAGAGAGAGAGAGCGCACUAAAAUAAUGAAAAGUGUAUAAAACAGUUUCUAAGAAGAAAAUGCGUAAGAGAGAAGAGUAUAAAUUAUAUUUUGGUGUUUUAAAGUUAACAAAAGGUCUCUUUUAUAUAUGAGAAGAGAUUUUACCAAAAAAAGGAUAAACAAUUCAUGAGCUGGUGCCGCUCUCUAGUCGAUUAGCCUUUGACGCUAAUCGAUUAGGCCUAACUAAUUAAGAAAGAAACUAGCGAGAUUCAGUGGCGGUGAGCUCACUCCAUGAUCGAUUAGAUACAUGUUCUAAUCGACUAGAGAGCAUAUUUUCACUUUUCUAAUUGGUUAGGAAACCUCCUAAUCAAUUAACAAAUGACCAUAAAUAAUUUUAAAGAAGUUUUAAAAAGAGAUGAAGUUAGUAAAAUCAUUUUGACUGUGUGUGCAUUACUUUAGUACUUUGAAAACUACUCACACUUAACUACACAUUAUUGAUCAUAAACAGAUAAAAUACACCAAAUCACUAAAUCAUACGAGCUUUCAAUGACUUCAAUUCUUUUGAUGUUGAUAUUUAUCAUUUGACUGUCUUUGCUCUAAAUACCGGAACCUUUUUUGCUUCAUUUUUUGAUAAACUUAAAUAUUUUUCUUCUUUGAUAAAGCUCAUGAUUAUUUUACUUUAUUCUUUUAUCAUCAUCAAAAUCACAAUUGAAUUCACAAAUGCUUGUAUAAUACAUAUAACCACAUGAAGAAUUUGAAAUUCUAAGGGAAACUUAGAGGGACAAUGGUAAAAAUUCAUAGGAUUAUGUUAUUGGAAUUUGAGAAAUCUUUAGAGGUAUCUAAGAGGAUUGAAAAAUACUUAUAACUGUUGGUGCAAAGGUAGAAUAUAUGAUGAAUGGAAAUAUUCUUAUUCAGAGAAUGAUGGCUACAAAAAGGAUUAAAAGUUACAAUGAUUGACACCCUAUUUAUAAGCCUCUAACAAACUUAAAUAUGAAUGCAAUCUAAUAUUUAAAUCUAAUAUCUAACAAACUUAAAUAUGAAUCAAAUCUAAUAUUUAAAUCUAAUAUCUAACAAACUUAAAUAUGAAUUAAAUCUAAUAAUUAAAUCUAAUACCAUCCCUUAAUUCAUAUUCCAUCAAAACUUGUAACACCAAUUCCAUCCCUUAAUCUGAGAAAUGAUCAGUCUUGAUAGCUUUCGUCAGAACGUCUGCCAACUGCUUCUGAGUGCUGCAGUGUACAACUUCUAACACUCCCCUCUGAAUUGAUGUCUCAGAAAAUGAUACUUGGUCUCAAUGUGCUUGCUUCUCCCAUGCAACACUGGGUUCUGGCAAGAUUGAUUGCAGACGUUGUCGAAUCAUCAGCUCAGACUUUAAUCUUCAGAUCCUGCAAUAGAUUCAGAAUCCACACAGCUUGGCAUGCAGUAACAGCAAUCUUACAAUUCUUCAGAUCAAAUCUCUUCAGAAGUUUCAAUUCAUACUUGAGCUGAUGCAAAAUAAUACCUUUCUCAGAGUAUCUGAACUCCAUCCCUAGAAAGUAUGGUCAUUUUGCCUAGAUCAGUCAUUUCGAAUUCAUUCAUCAGAACUUUCUUGAACUUGGCUACUCUUGUUCAGAACUUCCAGUCUUGUUUCUCUCAUAGCAUCAAGUUCUUCUUUCAUGGCCUUCAGCCAGAGCUUCUGCUAGAGCUCUUCUGUACUUAUGGGUUCAGAGUCUACUAACAUGGCACACUGAAUAACUUCUCCUUCAGAGUCUACUUCAGUGUCUUGCAGCAUGUCAAAUUCUGCAUAUCUUCUGGGGAUGUUUUCUGACUCUUGUGGUCUCUGAACUUGUUCAGAGUCUUCAACUUCAGAGUUUCUACCUUCAGAUGGUUGACUUCCUCCAAGAGCUUUGACCAUCUUCAGGGCUGGCAUAUUUCCAGAGUCUGAAUGCCACUAGAAUCUGGAUUACCAUCAGAGUCUGGGUCAUCAGAGUCUGGAUCAUCAGAGUCUGAAACAUCAGAGUCUGGAACAUCAGAGUCUGGAACAUCAGAUUCUGGAUCACUAUCAGAGUCGAAUCAACAUCAGAGUUUACUCCAACCUCAGAAAUUCUGAACUCUGACCUUUCUUCAGAAGUUCUAACAUCAGAAUACAGAUUGAGACUUUUCCCAAUUCCAAACUUCUGAUUCCUUCAACAAUCACAUCUCUGCUGAUUCAAUUUUAUUGGUUUCUGGACAAUAGAGCUUAUAUGACACUGUACUGUGGUACCCUAUCAGAAUCAUCACUUUGCUUCUAUCAUCCAGCUUCUGUCUUCUGGCUUCUGGAACAUGUUUAUAGCAAACAGAACCAAACACCUUCAAAUGACUAACACUUGCUUAUCUCCAGUCCACUUCUGUAUUGGAACUAUUUCCUUCAACUUCUUCGUAGGACAACGGUUGAGUACAUACGUUGCAGUGGCAACAGCUUCUCCCCAGAGCUUCUGAGGAAGUUCUUCUCCUUUAGCAUGCUUCUCACCAUAUCAAGCAAAGUGCGGUUUCUUCUUUCAGCAAGACCAUUGUGUUGAGGGGUAUAAGGAGCAGUAACCUCAUGCUCAAUUCCAUUCUCCUCACAGAACUUCUGGAACUCUUUGGAGUUAUACUCACCUCCACCGUCAGUUCUAAGAAUCUUCAGCUUUUGACCACUCUGAUUCUCAGCUUCAUUCUGAACUUCUUGAAUUCAUCGCAAACACCUCGUGUUUGAACUUAAUAAGGGAUACCCAUGUCAUUCUUGUGAAUUCAUCAACAAAUAACACAAAGUAUUUAUUCCCUCCAUCGAUGCUACUGGAAAUGGACCACACACAUCAGAAUGUACAACUCCCAAGGCAUGUUUUGCUCUUGGAGCAGUUUCUGACGCAAAUGGCAAUCGUGGUUGUUUUCCUUCCAGCAAACUUGGCAUGACUUUUCAGGCUUCUUAAUUGCAGGAAUUCCAUGUACCAACUCUUUGAAUUCAGAUGUUUAACUUCUGAAAUUCAAAUGACCAAAUCUUCUGUGCCACAGCUCACUCUCUUCUCAGCACUUGUUGCACUAAGACAUUCUGAGUCUGCAGUUCUGACAUUCACCUUGAAUUUCUAUUCCUUCCCUGUUCUGACUCCAUAAUCAACUUCUGAUUGCAGUCAUACAGCUUCAGAAGAUUGUCCUUCAUGGUAAUGAAAACCUUUCUCAAUUAAUUGUCCCACACUCAUCAGAUUGCUUCUGAUGCCAGGUACAUCCACACGUUCUGAAUCAAUGUUGUUUUCCCAUUGUUCAGAGUCACUCUGACAUUUCCCAUACCUUCUGAAUUAAGAUAUUUGUCAUCAGCACAUCUGAUCUUUGUCCUCUUUCAGAGUCAAAGUCAACUAGCCAUUUCUUGUUUCCAGUAAGGAUGAUUUGAAGCGCCAGUGUCAUAUACCACCAGUCUAUCAAAUCCAUAUCACCAGAUUCAGAGGCCAUCAAUAGCACAGAUUCGUCAUCAGAACUUCUGGCUAUAUUGCUUCUUCUGAUUUUCCUCUUGUUGACCAACAGUCUCUAGCAAAGUGACCAAAUUCUUACAGCAGUAACAUUGGAUUUUCUUCUUGUCAUACUUCUCUUUCCUUCUGAGCAUUCUUUUGUUUAUCAGAGGUUGAGCUUUCUGACUUCUGACCACCAUCAGAUCUUCUCCUGGCUUCUGACUGCUUCGAUACCUCCUAUCAGAAGUUGCUUUCAGAGCCUGCUGUCUACUUCCCUUUCAGAAGUUCUCUCAGUUAAACGCAACUCUUGCGCUUCUAGACUGCUCUGCAGCUCUUCAAUUCAUGGUGCUCAGAUCUUUGGAAUGUUCUAUUGCUACCACAAGUAAAUCAAAUUAGCAGGUAAGGGAUCUCAAUACCUUCUCCAUGAUUGUUUCUUCAGAAAGAGUUUCUCACACGCUUUCAUCUCAUUAGUGAUCAGAAUCACUCUGGAGAUGUAUUCAGAAACUUUCUCAUUAUCUUCAUGUUGAGAUCUCAUAUUGCUUUCAAGGACUGAAGCUUCACCUUCUUCACUGAUGCGUCACCACCAUAACAUCUAACCAGUGGUGCCCAGCAGCCUUUGCUGUCGUUGAAUCUGCAAUCUUCUCAAACACAUUUACAUCAACACAUUGAUGAAUGAAGAACAAUGCUUUCUGAUCCUUCUUCCUUACUUCGCCUCCGCGUUUUUCUGUUCAUCCGUUGCAUCUGCUGCUACCGGAAUAUAACCAUCAAUGACAAGAUCUAGAACAUCUUGAGCACCGAACAGUACACGCAUUUGGAUCAUCCAACGAUUCCAGUUUUUACCGUCAAAUACUGGAAGUUGGGUGUUCAUGUGCCGUUCCGUUCAUCUUCUACCUUGCACAGUACACUCAGAUUUCUCACACAGUGUUUCCCAACCCACAGAAUUAAAAUUCUGAUCAGAUUUUGUUCAGAUUCAACACGAAUCUAAGAAUCAAAAUCAAACACAGCAAGACCUCACGUUCACUCGUGUUUCCGCGUGUUUCCCAAUGAAUCCGAACCGGAGCUCUAGAUACCAAUUGUUGGUGCAAAGGUAGAAUAUAUGAUGAAUGGAAAUAUUCUUAUUCAGAGAAUGAUGCUACAAAAAGGAUUAAAAGUUACAAUGAUGACACCCUAUUUAUAAGCCUCUAACAAACUUAAAUAUGAAUCAAAUCUAAUAUUUAAUAACUAAUCUAACAAACUUAAAUAUGAAUCAAAUCUAAUAUUUAAAUCUAAUAUCUAACAAACUUAAAUAUGAAUUAAAUCUAAUAAUUAAAUCUAAUAUAACCACUUGAGCUUGAAAUUCAUAUAUAUAUAUAUAAUAUAUAUAUAUAUAUAUAUAAUAUAUAUAUAUAUAAUAUAUAUAUAUAUAUAUAUAAUAUAUAUAUAGAGAGAGGAGAAGAGAGAGAGAGAGAGAGAGAAGAGAGAGAGAGAGAGAGAGAGAGAGAGAGAGAGAGAGAGAGAUUGAAAAUCUCUUGGGAGAAAAAGAAAGUUUGCUCUUCGAAUGAGUAACUAUUUUCUUGUACUUUUUGUAAUCUAUUGUAACAAUUUUUAAAAGUAUAGUGAAUCAAAUAGACAAUAUCUCGUUCAGAGUAGAUCAGUUUAAUCGAACAGGAUAAAUAAGUUUUUGUGUUCUUAUCUUUUGUUUUCUUAUUACUUGUUAUGUAUUUGCCUCCACUCUCCACUCUCGAAAGGUUAAUGUGUUUUUUUAAAUUAUUUAUUUUAAUUGUUAUUAUUUUUUGUCUCAGACAUUUUUAUUUUUGCCGAAUUUAAUAUUAAGAUUAAUAAACAAGAAUUUGGUAUGUUUAAAUUUAUAAACAAAUUCACUAUAUUGUUAGAGUUUUGUAAUUUAUGAAAAUAAAAAAUGCAUAUAAUGUAAGAUGAGUAUAAAAUAGUUAAAGGAUAAACAUGCAUAAAAUAAUUUAUUUUAUUGAAUCUGUCUUAAAAAGAACUACAAAUUUAUAAUUUAUGGGCAAACAUUAUUCCUACUGAUCAAAACAACAUAUGCCACCUAAUUGAAUUUUGUUCAGCCAUUUACAUUGAUAAUUUUGUGAAUUUUCAGUUAUGUAGAGUAUCUGCCGUCCCACAUUAUAUUAAUCCUAUGUAAAUUUUUUUAUAUUAAUCCUGCAUAAUAAUUAAUCUCAAUUAAAAAUAUAAAAAUCCUAUAUUUGUUUCAAAUUUUUAAAAAUUAUCCCCAACAACUUUUUAUUUUCAUGAAUGUUGUUUAUCUAUAAUUUUCAUGUUUAAAGGAUGGAAAUUCAACGUAUCUAUGAAAAUAAAUCUCGAUUAGCGUUAAUUUUUCACUAUUAUUCAUAUUUACUUAUUUAAUUUUUAUAAUUUUAAAAUUAAAUAAAUUAUGUAAAUAUUUCCAUAAAAUUUAAUUUUUGAUCAAAACAUAUAGAUAAGAAUAUUAUUUCUGAAAAUAAUAUUUAAAAAUAUGAUUUUAAGAAAUUAUUUCAUAACUUCGAAACAAACACUCCUAAUAUUUCUAAAAGCUAGACGUGUUUUUCAAUAUAAAAAAGAGGAAUUAAAUGGUUAUUAAUUGAAUAAAAUAUAACUGGAUAAAAUUUUAAAAUGAACUUCAUUUCAUAAUACCCGAUCCAUUGAGACCAUUAUUGUAUUAUGGUUGAUAAGUGGAAAAAAAUUAAGUAUGUGUGUAAUAAUUUUAUUUCGAUUUAGUUAUUAAUAUAAAUUAUUUUUAUUCACUGUUAAAAAUAUUAUUAACUUAGUGUGAAUAUUUACGAGAAUAAGUUUUUUUUCCUUCAUUUGGAAGGGUAAAAUGAUUGAUUAGUAAUUUCUUUAAAACUUUAGAAAUUUUCUUAAAAAAAGGUUGGGGGCAGGCUGCUUUCUACCUCCUCUGUUUUUCUAAUUCACCGGAGUCCAUUAGUUGGAGCUUCUUAAGCAGCACUCCCACUUACAAAUAUUUUACUAUUCACACCCCUUGUGUAGUUAAAAAUCCUAGUACUUUUUUAUUAGAAAAUUGUUCAUAAUUUAGGAAAGAUAGGGUACUAUAGCACAUGUCUCCAUAGCUGUAAAUUGAAAAAAUAUUUGUACUCGAAUACAUACCCGUAUGAACGCUAACGUUUGUAUCUUGUGUUGUGUUUUUAUUUUUUGUGGUUUGUUGAUUGUCUUUCUCUUAUUUGUUUUUUUUUGUGUCUGGUUUUAGUGCACCUCUAGUGCGAUUGUUUGCAUCUUUUAUUUUUUUUCUAAUAUAUUUUCUAUGUUUUGCCAUUAAAAAAAUUAUCAUGUUAUUUUAAGGUUUUUACAACAUUUUACAAAUACAUUCAAGGAUGUUAUUGUUCGCUUGAGAAAUAAACAAACACUUAUAUUAAAAUACAUACAAAUUUAAUAGUGGUGUAUUUAAUAAAAUUGAUAAGUACACAUGUGUCUAUUAUUAAUAAAAAAAAUAUUGCGCGAGUAUGGGGCGGGGUGGAUACUAAGGUGGGUACCCGUGCACAUACCCGCUUAUUUUAGUGGAUAAUUGCAUGUGCACAUGCUUGUACCCAUUUUGCGGGUUUUUACUAUAUCCACUGUGAGUAAUUUUUGCGGGUACCCGCUAGGGAUGGGUCAAAUUGACACUAUAUUAGGACGUCAUAUCACUCUUGAUAAAUGUUCUGUUGCGGAACCAGAAAUGAUGAUGAUAGUGAAAACUACGACGAAAUGGGGCUCUCGAUGCACUACGUUGAUGCGACACCAUGAAUUGAAGGUUGUGAUCAUAGUGUUUCUUGAACCAACGAUAUCGAGGUUGGUGUGAUGUCGUUAACAAUGUUUUUAUCUCCGAUAUGGUGGAUCUUAGGAGGGUACCUGCAUGGUUAGCACUCCAACACACAAGUCAGUUUAUGGUUCCAGAUAAAUGGUAGUGAAAGUGAGAUUAGAGAUUGUGUCCCUUAUAAUCCUUUACGAAGGUAUUUAUACCUUGGGCCUGGCAGAGUAGGCUAGGUAAUGUGCCUCGUGCUAUUAGGGCUCUGACCGACGCAAAGUAGUUGGUCAUGGGUAUUUGUUGGUUCUUGGUAUAAAAAUCAUGUAUUUGUUGGUCAAUUUUAAUGAACAAAUGGUUAAGUCUUAUUCUAGCGGUUAAAAGUUACUUGUAUGCUCGUGUGCGAGAGGCUUAAGUGUCUAUUUAUAUCGCAGUAGAACAAAUAAAACAUUGUUCGUUUGUGAAAAGGUUUUGACAUUACACUAAGGUGGAAAAGAGGUUAAUUUGUUGAGAUUGUUUUUAGCCGGACGAUGAAUACUCGAGCAGUGAAGCGUACGCCAACCAUUCAUUUAUUCGAGAAGUAGAAAGGUGUGAACCCCCUAUUCCCUUUUCGUCCAAGUUUGGAAUUUUGAAAAUUUGAAAUUUAUUGGAGGGAGAAGAAUAUUUGCAGUAGCGAGGCGUGCGCCUCCCACGCGUGCACCCUCAUUCCCUUUUCGUCCAAGUUUGAUUAAAGUAUUUUAUUAGAAAGACGAAAGUUCGAGCAAUAUGGCAUGCGCCAACCACACACUUAUUCGAGGAGUAGAAGGAUGUGCAUUCCCCAUUCCCUUUUUAACAGGUUGUAUUGAGAAAAAUAUUUUAAAACGAUUAAGUUAAAAAAGAACUUGAUGUUGAUCAAGUGCUUGGUUCACGUUUGUUUUGAAAUUCAUUUUGAAGAUCAGCUUGAUGUUGAUCAAGCGUUUGAUUGACGUUUCAUGAAAUUGACUUGAAUUAAUUAUGAAGAGAUGAGAUUUUAUUUUUGAAAACCCCUUGAUGUUGAUCAAGGGUUUUAAAUUAGAAAAGUUGAUUCUUAUUAUUUUAUUAUUAGAAAAGCUGAUUAAUCAAAACAAAUGAGAGUAGUGUGUGAAAUAUAAAGUGUGUGGUAAGAUAAAGAAAAAAAAAGAGUGGGCUAGGCCAAACAUAAAAAGAAAGCAUAACAUGCAAUAAAAAAGAAAGCAAAUACAGGUGUAGAUAGCUAAAGAGACGAGCCCAAAUGGUUGAGGGGCCAAAGUUGCCAAAAACAACAAACAAGAGGCAUAGGGUGUAUAAAGGAAAUAAAAGGUGAAUUCAGUAAAGCGGGUUAGGCCCAUGACCCAAACCCAACCAAACCCUAGGUAUAAUAACCCAAAAACCUGACCUCUCCCUCAUUUUUUCAUAUAUUUUCUCUCUCUUCUCCCUUAGAACUCUCCUUCGCUCCCUCUGUACCCUUUCCUCCUCUUUCUUAUUCUUCCCUUUACUCACUACUGUAAAAUUCAAGUUAUAAUUUCCUUUUCUUAUUACCGUUGUAUAAACUCUUUGUAACAAAUUUAAAUAUUAAUGAAAUAUGAAAUUCAAAAGUUUGGUUCAUUUUGUUAAUUGAUUUCCAUAUGCUCAUUUUGCCGAUUCUCUUUUUUUGGUGCCAUACGCUGACCAUUGGUGAGAUAGGAAUGAAAUGGUGAUUCAAUCCCUAACUUAUUCACUUUUUGCAAACUAUUUUGGUUAAUUUUGCUUUUUGUCAAUUUUGAAAUACCAAUUCAAAUUAAAAACCUCAUAUUAUAACCUAUAAGUGGCUUACUUACCUUUGUUGAUUUUGAAUUAAACAAAUGAUAUGAGAUGAUGCGAUCAUGAAACUCAAAGUUAAAUACCUCAACAACUUGCCUUGGGUUAUUGUUGUUUUAAGAAAAUGAACCAAAGUGAUAUUCAAAGGGGCAUUUUGUAUUUGAAAUUAAAUAGCAAAAUCAAAGAUGGUGAUGAAUGUAUAAUGUGGAAAGUGGCAUGCACAAACUUGUGGCAUAAAAUGUACCUACUUAAAAAGAAACAGAAGGCAAAGUUCUAAGCUUUGUGUCCUUGAGCCACUCAAAUGGUAAAUGAACAUCACAUUAUGUCAUAUAUAUAUAUAUAUAUAUAUAUAUAUAUAUAUAUAUAUAUAUAUAUAUAUAUAUAUAUAUAUAUAUAUAUAUAUAAUNNNNNNNNNNNNNNNNNNNNNNNNNNNNNNNNNNNNNNNNNNNNNNNNNNNNNNNNNNNNNNNNNNNNNNNNNNNNNNNNNNNNNNNNNNNNNNNNNNNNNNNNNNNNNNNNNNNNNNNNNNNNNNNNNNNNNNNNNNNNNNNNNNNNNNNNNNNNNNNNNNNNNNNNNNNNNNNNNNNNNNNNNNNNNNNNNNNNNNNNNNNNNNNNNNNNNNNNNNNNNNNNNNNNNNNNNNNNNNNNNNNNNNNNNNNNNNNNNNNNNNNNNNNNNNNNNNNNNNNNNNNNNNNNNNNNNNNNNNNNNNNNNNNNNNNNNNNNNNNNNNNNNNNNNNNNNNNNNNNNNNNNNNNNNNNNNNNNNNNNNNNNNNNNNNNNNNNNNNNNNNNNNNNNNNNNNNNNNNNNNNNNNNNNNNNNNNNNNNNNNNNNNNNNNNNNNNNNNNNNNNNNNNNNNNNNNNAUAUAUAUAUAUAUAUAUAUAUAUAUAUAUAUAUAUAUAUAUAUAUAUAUAUAUAUAUAUAUAUAUAUAUAUAUAUAUAUAUAUAUAUAUAUAUAUAUAUAUAUAUAUAUAUAUAUAUAUAUAUAUAUAUAUAUAUAUAUACUAAAUUCUCAUUUUCACUUUGUUGGCUUGACUUUGACCAAGUUCCUUAUUUGACACAACGAUGAAUGAUAUGAAAUGGAAUAAUAAUAGGUUAAUGCUAACAUGUGCCCCAAAGGCACAAGUUAAUGAUACAUUUAUAGAAAUAUUCUCUUGAAAUGCGUGCAUUUAAUUUCUUGAAACUUAAAAUUUUGUUUCUUUCCACACAAAAUUUAUAAUAGUAGUAACCUUAACUUGUGCCCCAAGGGCAUAAGUUAGCAAGACCCAUAAUAAUAGCCUUUGAUAUCAAAGGUUGACUUUUACUUUAUUCAUUAUGAAUGUCAUGCAUGAAAGACCAUAAAAUUGCAUAAAGAUGUGAUGAAAUGAUGCAUGAAGAAGUAAAUGAAUUCAGGACAUAAUAACCUCUUAUGUGAGUAUCAGAUGUAAGUUGAAUUCCUAUAGUGAGAUGAUAGGAAAUGGGGAGGGACAAAAUUGAGUUAAGACAGUUGCCCCAAUUUAAUUACCUUGAAUCCGGGAGUAUGAAUAACAAUGAUCUUCAUAUUUAUAGGGUGAAAGAUAAUUAAAUACAAAAAUAUCCAAAUUUUAUCUUUCAAAAAUAUAAUGUGAUGAGAUGAAUAAAUGUAUGAAGGGUCAACCUUACCGGGGGUAUGAAGGGUUUGCCUCCAAUGACAACUUUGGAAAUAAACAAAGUCGAAAUUUUUUAUGACAAUUAACAGAGAAAACUUCCCAACUAACAACAUCAAAAGAUUUUCUAAGACUUAACAGAGAAAAUUUUCAAACAUCGAAAGAUUCUUUGAGACUUAACAAAGAAAACUUUCAACUUAACAAAAAUAGAAAUAUACUCUGAGACUUAACAGAAAAACUUCUAACAUCGAAAGAUUCUUUGAGACUUAACAAAGAAAACUUUCAAACAUCAAAAGUUUCUUUGAGACUUAAUAAAGAAAACUUCUAACUUAACAAAAAUCGAAAUAUUCUCCGAGACUUAACAAAGAAAACUUCCAACUAACAACAUUAAAAUAUUCUCUAAUACUUAACAAAGAAAACUUUCAAAAAUCAAAAGAGUCUUUGAAACUUAACAAGAAAACUUCCAACUUAACAAAAAUCUAAAGAUUCUCUGAGACUCAACAAAUAAAACUUCCAAUAUCGAAAGAUUCUUUGAGACUUAACAAAGAAAACUUUCAAACGUCGAAAAAUUAUUUGAGAUUUGAUAAAGAAAACUUUCAACUUAGCAAAAAUCAAAAUAUUUUCUUAGACUUAACAAAGAAAAUUUUCAACUAACAACAUCGAAAGAUUCUUUGAGAUUUAAUAGAGAAAACUUUCAAACAUCGAAAGAUUCUUUGAGAUUUAACAAAGAAAAAUACCAACUUAACAAAAAUCAAAAGGUUCUCUGACACUUAACAGAGAAAAUUUUCAAAAUUAAAAGAUUCUGUGAGACUUAACAAAGAAAACUUCAAACUUAACAAAAAUCAAAAGAUUCUCUAAGACUUAACAGAGAAAACUUUCAAAAAUCAAAAGAUUCUCUAAGACUUAACAGAGAAAACUUUCAAACAUCAAAAGAUUCUUUGAGAGUAUUCAAAGAAAACUUCCAACUAAAAAAAAUCAAAAGAUUCUCUGGGACUUAACAAAGAAAACUUUCAACUAACAAACAUCGAAAGAUUAUCUAAGACUUAACAGAGAUAACUUUCAAAUAUCAAAAGAUUAUUUGAGACUUAACAAAGAAAACUUUCAACUAACAAUCAUUGAAAGAUUCUCUAAGGAUUAACAGAGAAAAUAAUCAACUAACAAACAUCAAAAGAUUCUCUGAGACUUAACAUAGAAAAAUUUCAACUAACAAUUAUUGAAAGAUUCCAUGAGACUUAACAGAGAAAACUUUCAAACAUCAAAAGAUUCUUUGAGAUUUAACAAAUAAAACUUCCAAAUAAUAAACAUUGAAAGAUUCUAUGAGGAUUAACAGAGAAAAUUUUCAACUAACAAUCAUUGAAAGAUUCUAUGAGGAUUAACAGAGAAAAAUUUCAACUAACAAUCAUUGAAAGAUUCUAUGAGGAUUAAAAGAGAAAAUUUUCAACUAAAAAAACAACAACUGGGGGAUCUUCUGAGAUUAAGAGAGAAGACUCUCAACAAAAAUAAAUGAAUAACAAAUGGGAGAUUCUAUGAGAGUUAACAGAGAAAAACCUUCAAAUAAGAAACACAAAUAACAAUUGGGAGAUCCUCCAAGAAUUAACAAAGAAAAUGCUCCAUAAAAUAAUAAUAACAGGUAGAUUCUCUGAGAAUUAACAGAGAAAACUCUCCACAAAAGAUAAUUGAUGCUCUAUGAGCAUUAACAAAGAAGACGCUCAUCAAAAUAACAACAACCGAGAGAUCCUCUAAGAAUUAAUAAAGAAAACUAUCCAUAUAAUAUAAUUGAGGUUCUCUAAGACUUAAUAGAGAAAACUCUUAAAGGAUCAAUAAAGGAGGAGCACGAGAGUGAGGAAUCUGAGGUUAGUGAGCUUUGUGUCAGAAGCCCUUAAUUGUUUAAAGAACAUUAUAAACUUCCUGAGGUAACGAAGGAAUCGCUUACAGACGAUGUAUUCAAAGAGUGGAAAUAACAUGUCAAGUGAUAAUAUAGCGGCGAAGAGUCCCAGCAUUAUGCAGCUUCAGAUGACACUGAAAUUGGCAAGAUGACUGAGUUUUUGCAAUAGGUUUUGCUUAAAACCAAACACAAAAAAACCAAAUCAAAACUCAUUGAAAUUCAAAACCAAAUUCAUAUCAAAUUAACACAACAAAUUAAAAUCACUUCAACUAACUACCCUAGUUUCCCUAGUCAUAACUAACCUUUAACCAUCAAAAUAAACUUCCAACCAACUUCCAAUUAGAAACUAAAUUCAUCCCAAAUUCACUUCAAAGUAAAUUUUAACAAACACAUUUCCAAUUAAUUUUUCUCCUUGAACUAACAAAACCCCAAAUGAAUUGAAAUCCAAUCCCAACCACUCUUAAACCGCUCACGAGGAUCACAAUCCAAGGGCCAUAAUUCACUCAACCCUAACUAACUUUCCCUCUAUUCAUCACCAUAAACUCACUAUGAUGAAUUUCAUCCUCACCAUCACUUACAACCCUCACCUAAAGCUCUCUCCAUUAUUAUGCAGAGCUUCACAUUGAAGCUCUGAUGUAGUAGAGCUAAACCUCAACCAUUACUGAAAUUUCAACCAUUACCGCCUCUCUACACUCAUAUAUUUAGAGCAUCAAUCAACAACAACAUUUAGAAAUCACCAAACAAAGAGGAAAGGCAGAAGAAGAAAGGAAACAAGGAAUAAUAGCUUAAAGAUUAUCACUCUGGGUUUCUUACUCUCUUCGCUUGAGAAAACAUAUAACAACAACCGGAGGACACCUCCCCUUUGUUAGUAGGUCAUAUUUCCUUCAAUCUUUUCGCAUUUUUCUUGUUACCAAUAUGAUAUUUGUGCCAUGAUGAUCGAUAACCAUAUGCUAAUUGCUUGAAUUAAUGAACGAUUGACAUUUAAUUUAAAUUUGAAUAUUUAGGGUCCUUGCAUAAAACUGUAAAAUAGAUUGUUUUGGGGUUUGGAGUUUGAGAAUUUAGAGAGUAUAUCUGAGUCGAUGAGAGAAAACCAACCAUGGUGGUAUGGUGUUUUCAUGAUUCUGGCCAUCCUUGUCAAAACCCGUAGCGGCGGCCGAUAAUAUUAAAGAGAUGGGGAAGACGAUGAAAGAAGGAAGAGUAAAAUUAUACGCUUUUGUCUUCUUUCUCUUUUAUUACUUUUUUUUCUUACUUAUUAAAUUCAUCAGUAUUAAUAAUAUUGUUUUGGUUAAUUGAAUUUUUUAAUUAAAUAUAAUUAAUUUGGUUAUUGGACUACGCUAAUUUGAUUAAUUGGGUUAUUUGACUACAUAUUUUUUUUUAAAAUAUUCUUGAUAAUCAAUUUUUAAUUUGAAUAUUUAAUUAAUUUUAAUUAAUUAAUUAUAUGGUAAUUCAUUUGAUUGUGUGGUUAAUGAUUCUCAAAUUUUAUUAAUUUGCAAAUCUCUUUAUUUGUCAUAUUAUUCCCCAUUUUGAAAAAUGUAUCCCCAAUCCUCGAGUUUUAUUGUUUGGUUAUUUUUAUCGCUUUCCUUUUGGUUAUUUUGUUAUCUUGGUUAAUUACUAACUUAAGAUUAAAAUCGACCAUUCUUUCAAAAGAAUAAAACGCUUGAUCCAACGACUUAUUUUCCCUUUUUCAAAAUCUUUUGACAAUAAAAAUGGAACGAAAAAGGAUUGAGUGGGUGUAGGACUUCUCUUUCCCUGAUUAUUUGAACACUGAUGUAGAGCUCUAUGUUCAAAGCCCCGUCUUCCAUAUUAAAACACAAUAAUUAAUUAAUUAAGUUGGUUCUUACAUAGAAGGAAAAGGAUUGAGUGGGUGUAGGCACUCACUCUCUCCGAUUAUUUGGACACUGCUGUAGAGCUCCCUGUGCGAAUUAUCGUCUUAUAUUAACAAACCUAGACUUAAUUCGCCACACUUUUUCAUAAUAAUUUAGAAGAAAAAAGAUUAGUUGGGUGUCGACAUUCUCCUUCCCCAAAUGGUUUUUAAUUAAUGUGUUCGCCAAGAUUUCAAAAUAUUAUGCCUACGUAUUCUCAUGGUACAAUGAGAAAAUCAAAGAUUGGUAGUUCGUGGUAGAAAAUGAGUGUUCGAAAUCUUGGCGAGCACAUUAAUUAAAACUUGUUUUUCCCUUAAUUGAAACUUUAUAAAAUCAUAUAAUAUAUCAGUAAUCGCAAUUAACUUUUAAUUAACACCCAUAUAUGCAAAACAAUCAAAACGUUUUCCAUUGAGUACAACAGAUGUAAGGGGUGCUAAUACCUUUCCCUUGCAUAACCGACUCCCGAAUCCGCUCUUGGUUGCGAAGAUCAUUCCAUUUCUUUUUUCAUCAUGAGAUUUUAUCGAUAUUUCCCCUUUCCUUUGGAAUAAAUAAAGCUUUUUCGGUGGUGAUUUUAUUUUUAUUUUGAGUGUUCCUCGUGCUCGGGUAUUUUUUGCGGUGCCACAACUGACGACUUUGCUAGGCAAAUCCUAAGCAAGUCAAGCCCAGUUUUGGUUAUCUUCUUUGUGUGUUUGGGUGUUUAUCUUUAUUGCUUUAAUAUUUACUCGCUCUAUUUUAUUGCAUUUACCGCUUUAUAUGUUUGAUAUAUUAUGGAUAUAUUUGUUUAUUAGUCCUCAAUUGUGGGUUGGGUUUCAUGAUGCUAUUUAAGAGAAAAACUUAUUACCCGAGCUUGAGUAUACAGAUAGGAUAGAAUCAUGGAUAGUCAUGUUGACCUACUAGACGUAGGACCCGUUGGGUUAACACGAGACCCACAUCUAGACUAGAUUCACUUGGAAGUACUAUUGUCCUACAAGCAUUUGCUAAGACAAUGUAUUUUCAUUUGGAUCCUUGACUCUAUGAGGCCUUUUUAGGAAUAUCCUUUUUUGAAGAUUAGAACCUACAUGUGAGGGGGAUUAUGGGUUGCAGUAAACCUAAAACUCUACCUACCUUGAUAGUCAUGUUCAGAUUAUCUAGAAUACGCCGAACCUUUGAACCCAUUAUAUUGCAUAUCAUUGCAUCAUAUCAUCAUAAAAAACGGAUAUAACAUAUGCAUAACUGACUCCCAAAUGCUCUCUUGGUUGCGACGACCAUUUCUUUUCCUUUUUCACCGUGGGGUUUUAUCAAUAUUUUCCCUUUCCUUUGGAAUAAAUAAAGUUCAGUGACGACUCUGUCUUUAUUUUGAGUGUUCCCCGUGUUCGGGUAUUUUUUGUGGUGCGAUAGCUGGCGACUAUGUUGGGGAACAUAUUUUACUGGAAAAGAUCCACCCAGAAAACCUGUGGGAAUCACAACUUACUUGAAAGUAUUUAAGGAUUUUAAUGUGGAAUUCAACUGGAUUUUCAAUCAUCAAAUAUGGCUUAUGCUAUGUGUACAUGUUUGUAGGUUACCGUGAUGUAUGAAAUGCCUUUUUGGUUACUUAGUGAGGUAUACCAUGUUUGGGCAAGGUAUGCAUGAAACGAUGCAUUUAAUGAAUAGUCAAUGCUUAUGAUUCUGAUGGGUACCAAAAAGGUUGGUUUUUGAAGUGCCAAUCAGUGUUGAACUUUAAGAUAUUCCAAGAAAGAUUGACGUUUGUAGAUGUAGAUGAAUCAACCUAUGAGGUAUACUAGGAUAUGUAGUGAUUUUUAGUGUUUGGCAGGGUAAUGAACUUCGAUUUCCCGAAAUUCGAGAACUAGACAAACUAGAAAGUUGUAUGAUGAUUAGGAAGACAUGGAAUUGUUGUUCUCCAUUUGGAAUUUCAUGUUGAUUAUUUUCGUAAGAUUAUGAUAGAUUAUGACCCGACCAGAUCGUGAUGACCCUUUUAAAUGCUUUUUGUAUGGUAGAUAUAUUAUUGUAAGUUAAUGAUCUUUCUUCAAUCUUUCCAAACAUCAAAGUGAUUUAAAUUUUUCUUGAUGCUUUUUGUCAUUAUACUCAAUAUUUUAAUCCAUUAUUUAUCAAAAACAACCAACAUUUUGUAAACAGAAGGCAAAUUGAAAUGAUAGAGAAAACCUCAAAAGAGGGAUAUUUUAUUCGAUGUGAAAGAUGACUCGUACAUAAGAUGUAAGUACACAUGGAUGCAAGAUUAUAAAAAAGGAAAUUAUAAAAUGAAAAUAAAGUAAGAUGGAACAUGGGAAAUUAUACGAGUUUCCAUUAAACUACAACACGUGCCACUUUCCCGUAGGACCUUGAGUCUCAAUACUUUGCUUCAGAAGAUGGUGAUUGAAUUGAUUCCUCCAUAUGAAAUCUAAUUAUGGUGAUGCAGGCUCGAGUGCUACAUUUAAAUUCCUUUAUUAAAAUCCCUAAUUUGCAUGGACUUUUAUUGUAUAUAUUUUUUUGUCUAUCGGGAUGCCCAUUUUUGCCUAAAUCGCCCUUUCAGGUUUUCAAUUUAGCGGGCUUUUCAUUUGUUUUUAGUUUUAUCCCUAAUUUUUGCAUGGAUGCCUAUUCUUUUAGUUCACUAGGACACCCAUUUUUUCCUAAGUUGACCCAACGAGUUAUAUUUUUAUUUCUUUUUAGGCAUAAUAUUUUUUGACUACAUCGGAGUUCACGAGAAUUGGAAACUCCUCUGCAUCCAUAGUAGUUAGAAUCAAGGCUCCACCUGAGAAGGCCUUUUUCACGAUAAAUGGUCCAUCUAAGUUUUGAGACCACUUGCCUCAUGAAUCCAUAUGUAUUAGCAAGAUCUUCUUUAUCACUAGGUCGCCUUCUUGGAACUCGCGAGGACGAACCCUAUUGUCGAACGCUUUCUUGAGCCGCUUUUGGUACAAUUUACCGUGGCAAAAGGAUGUCAGGCAAUUUUCUUCUAUGAGAGCUGGUCGAACUUGGUCUGGACGCAUUCUGUCUCAUUAAGUUUAGCUUCCAUAAUGACUCUCAUUGAAGGGAUAGACUAAUGAGAACAUAGUUGCACUUGUAGAGGUGUGCACCGAAGUUCUGUAGCCGUGUAAUGUGAAAGGGAUCAUUUCAUGCCAAUCUUUGUACGUUUUUACCAUUUUCUGAACAAUCUUUUUUAUUUUCUUAUUAUCCACUUCUAUAACACCGUUCAUCAUAGGCCAAUAAGGUGAAGAGUUAUGAUGCUCGAUUUUGAAGUCUUUGCAAAACUCCUUCAUUGUUUUGUUGUUUAAGUUGUUGGCAUUAUCUGUAAUAAUCUUAUUGGAAACCCCAUAACGACAAAUUAUUUCUUUCUUUAUAUAUCGAGCAACCACCUUUCUAGUGACAUUAGCAUAUGAGGAUGCUUCUGAUGCGUAAUUUUCGCAAGUAUACGAACGCGUCAGAGUAAUAUAAAAGAUUGUCGAAUCCACAGAGACCAAGUGUCAAUCUAUCAUUAUCUAUUGUUAUGGUGUUUAUCUAAGGUAAUCAAAAUAGGGGUUUUUAGAGUAUGUAGUGAAGAGUAAAGUAUUAAAUUAAAUUCAAUUAAUAAAGACAGGCUCGAAUGUAAUUCACACAAUCAAUUAAUAAUCCAAGUACUUGCUAAUAGAACUACUUAUGGGCAGUGUUUCCUACUUUGAGAAGAACCAAUUUAACAGGAACUGUCGCUUUUGCGUAUUCAGAACCGAGUUGUACUCCCUAAUCAAACCCUCUUAUUGUCACUUAUAAAAAGGCGCGCAUUGCGUUAGAGUAGUAAACCUAUUUUUAAUACCUAUUUUUAAGAAAUAUAGUAUCUUGACUAAGUUGAAAAGUAUUUUAACCUGGAUUUCUUAACCAAAAGAGGUUCUCACGAACCAGACUCUAAACUUAUAAACGCGUCCGAAAAUAGUUUUAAAAAUCACUUUUCUUCUUAAGUUAAAAACUCCUAAUGAACUAAACAAAGCGCUUUCGCUGUAUUUGAAAUAGUUAAAAACAACUAAGUUUAAAAAGACGUUGGACGACUUUCGAUCUUACCCAACAGAAAUUAAGUGCAGGAAAACUUAAGUUGAAAGUCAAAAUAGCCCUUAAGUGUUUCUACGAACAAUUGUAUGGAUUAUCGGUUCAAUUACGGUCCUUACAUUAUAACCUUUAUAGAUUUAGUUAGACAUGGUAAAGUAAAGGUGCAUUUUAACUUAAAUAAAAGUAGUGCGAGUGCGUAAAUUUAAAUAAAAGUAGUGCGAGUGCGAAAAGCAAAUAAAAGUAGUGCGAGUGCGUAAAAUAAAUGAAAGUAGUGCGAGUGCGGGAAAUAAAUGAAAGUAGUGCGAGUGCGGGAAAUAAAUAAAGUAAAGGAAGUGCGGGAAAUAAAUAAAGUAAAGAUAGUGCGGGAAAUAAAUAAAGUAAAGACAGUGCGGGAAAAUAAAUAAAGUAAAGACAGUGCGGGAAAAUAAAAUAGAUAAAGGCAAAGUAAUAAAAACCUGCUCCAAUCGGAGGGUUGAAUAAAAUGCGAAGCGGAAAUGAAAAUGACGGCAGGAUUAACUUCCUUCCAAAGUGCUCCAAACUCGAUUACAGACUCGAUCACAGACUUGAUUACACAAUUGUGGUAACACCCCAAUGCGAAGCGAUUACCACUUUUAAAAUACUGAAUAUAUACCUAAGUGAAACUAAGUUUGCUCUAAGUUUGGAUCUGCUCUAAGUUUGGAUGAUUAAACAAAUGAAAACGAGUAUGUAUUUAUAGGCAAGGAAAAUAAUGGAAAUGACAAGGAUGCCCUUCAGUUUGAAAUUGGGAGGGAAAGGUUUUCUUCUUGUGGCGCCCGCAACAACCCUAUGGCGCGCUCCACAAGGGCAAAUUGUGGCGCCCAAGUGGAGAUAGUGGGGAACGUGGCAGUUGAGGGAAGUUGAGCUGUGACACGUCAUGGCUGGACAUAUGGCGCCAGCCACAAGUGCAAAAUGCUGAAUUUUAGUCUUUUUAGCUCAUUUUCACUCAUUUUCUCGAUCGGGGCUCUGAUUAGACUGAAAACCUGAAAACAAAGAGAAACAUAGUAAUAACAUAACAAAAUAACAAUAAAACCACUAAAAUGCAAAGGAAAUCGGAGUCGAAAAUACGGUGAAAUUCAGUGUCAUCAGCUUCCAUCCAUUUAGUAAAGUAAUCUUUUACAACUAGGAUAAAGCAAUGACCGUUUGAAGUUUGUGGCUCAAUGAAUCCUAUCAUGUCUAUUCCCCACAUGGACAAAGGCCAUGGUGAUGUCAGAAUGUACAAAGGGGUUGGUGGCACAUGUGUCUUGGCAGCAUAAAUUUGGUAUAUAUGGCAUUUUUGACGUAAUUGAAAUAAUCAGAAUCCCUGGUCAACCACUAAUAGCCAACUCGCAGGAUUUUCUUAGCCAUGGCAUGCCCAUUGACAUGUGUCGCGAAAGUUCCUUCAUGAAUUUCACUUAUGAUUAGGUAUGCCUCGUGUCUAUCCACACAUCUGAGCAAAACCAUAUUGUAGCUUCUUUUUUAGAGUACAUCAGCGUUGAGAAAAAAACUUGGUAGCCAGUUUUCAUAAAGUUUUUCGACCCUUGUUGGAUGCCCCUGCCGGAUACUCUCGUGUCUGAAGGAAGUAUUUAAUGUCAUGGAACUAGGGUUUUCCAUCUGGUUUGGUAUGCAUUGAUGAGUAGAAUGCGGGCUUGUUAAAGUGAUUGAUUGUUAUGGACAAACCUUUAUUAGCCUAAGGAACCUUGUACAUGGAUGAUAACGUAGCCAAGACGUCAUCUAGUUGAUUCUCUUCUCUGGGAAUGUGAUGGAAGGUGAUUUACUCAAAAUGAGUCAUCAAUUGCAAACCAUGAGUACGAUACGUGAUCAAUUUGGGAUGACAAGUUUCCCAUUGCUCUAAGUUUGGAUCUGCUCUAAGUUUGGAUGAUUAAAUAAAUGAAAACGAGUCUGUAUUUAUAGGCAAGGAAAAUAAUGGAAAUGAUAAGGAUGCCCUUCAGUUUGAAAUUGGGAGGGAAAAGUUUUCUUGUUGUGGCGCCUUUAUAGGCAAGGAAAAUAAUGGAAAUGAUAAGGAUGCCCUUCAGUUUGAAAUUGGGAGGGAAAAGUUUUCUUGUUGUGGCGCCCGCCACAAGGGCAAAUUGUGGCGCCCAAGUGGAGAUAGUGGGGAACGUGGCAGUUGAGGGAAGUUGAGCUAUGACACGUCAUGGGUGGACCUAUGGCGCCAGCCACAGUGGGAGCCACAAGUGCAAAAUGCUGAAUUUUAGUCUUUUUAGCUCAUUUUCACUCCUUUUCUCGAAUGGGGCUCUGAUUAGACUGAAAACCUGAAAACAAAGAGAAACAUAGUAAUAACAUAACAAAAUAACAAUAAAACCACUAAAAUGCAUGCGAAAUCGGAGUCGAAAAUACGGUGAAAUUCAGUGUCAUCAAAUUCUCCCACACUUAAACCCUUGCUUGUCCUCAAGUAAAACACUUAAAAAGUUCAUAGAAGAAAAACUGGUGUCAACAAGUGCUUCGGGCUAAAAAGGUUUCUAAGUUCAAGUCGGGAUGCAGUGAUAGGUACUAACUGAGUGAACUAAGGGUAUCAUGAUGACACUUAUCCGCAAAUACGGACAUAAACUCCAUUCCUAUAUUAACCAACCCAUAUUAUCCCAUCAAUACUAGGCCUGCCUCUUCAUCUCUUUUGUGUCCUUUUCAUUCAGGUGCAAUCACAUUAAGCCCGUUAUCCGUACAUGCUUCAUAGCAGAGUGACCUGUUAGUGAUUAUGAUCAACAUGGGGUUCCUGGCACAUAAGUUUGUGUAAAACCCUUUUAUUUGACCCAACUGCAGUUGUGGGGAAUCGGAUCGUAAUCCGCCCUACCGAGUUCAGCGCCAGAUACUCUCUGAACCAACUAACAGCGGGUGAGUUUUCUUUUUCUUUUUCUUUUGUAGCAGAUUUUUUUACAACCUUUUUGGUUUAAAUGACUUUGUGAGGGUCACCUAUACCGGAGUUGCCUUUUUGCUUUCUUUUAUUUUAUUUAUUUCACUGGAUCAUUCACUUAUGUUCAUCGGUCCCCUACGUAGAGGCUGCUUUGGCCGGAGCUGAUUGCUGGAAUAAACUACUGAGGACUUAUACUGAAAUGAUGAUUAAGGCUACGGUAUAUGGGGUUUCGGGAGUGAUUCCUUUAUUCAUGAAGUCUAUGGUGCUAAAACAAUACUGAUGUUUCAAAAAGUUUUCCCAAGUCACCGCAUCCUUACUUAAACCCGUCUUUAAAACCCAAAAACUUUUAGAAUAACACCGUUUUCUUUUGCAAAUUUUUUUUUGGUAGGGCUAAAGGAAUGGGGAGAUUAGACUGUACUAAAGAUACACUAUACUGGUGACUCGUCAGACUCAUGCAUUAUCUAAAACACUCAAACUGAAAGCAAAAUGAAACGAAGUAAACAAAUAAAAAGCAAUAAAAAGAAACAAACUAACUAAAAACAACAAAGAAAAUUAGAAAGCGAUAAAAUCUCCUCCCAUACUUAAAUCGAACAUUAUCCCCAAUGUUUUGAAAUAAGAUAAGGGGAGAGUCACCUGACAACCUACUGCUGAUCACUGGUGCCUUCGCCAUCCUGAGGUGGACGACGAGAUCGGCUACGACGACAGUCUCCCUAAUCCAUCCUGGCCUGUAAGGCGUCCUGAGCAGUCCUCCCCUCUCGAAGGUUGCCUAAAAUGGAACCCUGAGUGGCUUCUAUCAGUGCAGUAUGUUGAUGGUGGUAGUGCUGCUGACGGGCUUGUUCGUUUGUGAUCGUAAGCAGGGACUGGACAACAGUCUCAUAGGAUCUAUCUGUCCUCCCCUGCGAUUCUUGCAUGAAGCUCAUGUUAUCCGCCAGUUGUUGCUGAAUGGUAGAGAGUAGGUCAUCACGCCUUUGCUCUUUAGCCAUGUGGUCAUGCCACAUCUCCUCUGUAAUAUAAAAGCCAGGGGCAGAACCUGCAAAAGAAGAAGAUGGUGCGGUGUGUGGUGGUGAAGGGUGAUGGGGGGACACAUGAGGUACGGGAGAUCGCUCUCUCCGAUCAUAUUCAUCAUCAGUGUGGUGUCCCUCAUCAUCAGGAACAUUAGGAGGAAGUGGACCCAAAAUAGGUGGAGCAUCUAAAACAUAGGUCCAAUUCCUUUCAUUACGUACAUCAAUACGUCUAGUGCAUGGUAAGACAACAGAUGGGAUAACUAUACCAUGAACCAUAAGUACAUAACCUCCUUCUCUCCUCAAUCGGCACAAUUUCAUGUCUCUCAGAAAUUUUAGGUUGAUUGUGCGAGGAGGUAAGAGAUCUAGUGUAGCUAUCUCAUUGUUCAGGUUAAGCGCCCGAGCAAUAGACGUAAUGAGUCCUCCGAAAACUAUAGGUCCCGCUUUAUUAAGAGUUAAAGCCAUAUGCGCGAGCAUAAACGGGACCAAAUUAAUCUUUCUAUUUAUGAGGCUUCCUUGCAAAAAUAGAAGCUCUCGAGCAUUGACCUUGUUUGGGUUCUCCUAGCCAAAAAUAGUACAUGCCAACAAAUAUCUAAAAACUCUGAUGGUCGGGUUAUGGAUGUUCGAGGCGAGAAUUCCUUCAAAAGAAUUUAUUAAAGUGUUUGACAAUCUCUGCCAAAAGGAAAACACCUCGACCGACCAAUCUGAAUCCAAAGGGGCCUCACAAAUAGCACCGUCCCCAUGAGGAAUACCUAAUAAGCCUGCUAUUUCGUCGGUACUGAAUUCAUACUCAACAACAAACAUUCUAAAUCAGACAGUACCAACUGUGCUAGCAGUGUUAGGAUUGACAAUAUAAAUUAAAGAACUUAAAAAUUCGAUUGUCAAUCGCUCAAAGGUAGGUUCUUUGUUUGAAAAGAUAGUAUGCAAGCCUAAAUUAUCCAAUAAAUAAAAAAUGCUAAGGUAGAUACCCAAAGUGUAAAGAUAAUUUUCAUCCACAUACCUUGUCAGGAGGAUUUCCCGAUUUUGCAACCUUUCGAUAAUCUUCCUCUGCAUAUCUCCCGGUUUCCCUUCACGAAGGAUAAAUCCAUUGAACUCCAUUAUUUAGCUCUUGCAAUGUGAUGAAGAAGAUGAAGAUGGGUUUGUAUAAAGGUGGGAUUUUUAUGAAAUUCGACGGAUGAAUUAUCUCCCGGUUUCCCUUCACGAAGGAUAAAUCCAUUGAACUCCAUUAUUUAGCUCUUGCAAUGUGAUGAAGAAGAUGAAGAUGGGUUUGUAUAAAGGUGGGAUUUUUAUGAAAUUCGACGGAUGAAAAUGAAAAUGGAAGUUGGGAAAAUGGUUUGUAUGGUGUGAAGAUGAGAAAUGUGGGAACUUUUGUGGGGUUCAAGGGCUUUUUCGGAAGGUGAGAAAAUGGGUUUUGGAGGUUUGAAGGUAUGAAAAUGGUGAAGAAUGUGAGUCUGCCCCGAGCUUAUACAGACGCUGUGGCGGGCGCCACAAGGCUAAAUUUGGUUGGGCCGGAUUUUGAUCAUUUGGCAUGGGCUUCUCGUUCUCUUUUUGGUUGGGGGGGUCCGGAUAGCGUUUGCAUUGUAUUUUUCUAGUGACAUAAGGCUUGCAUAAUUUUAUAAAAAUAAAAUUCACACAUUAGACUAAUAAAUAAAUAAAUAAUUAAUAUAAUUAAACUAUAAUAAAUAUAAUAAACAAACAUAAAACACACACACAUAUAUAUAUAUAAAUAAUAUAUAAAAAAUAAAUAUAUAUAUCAUAUAAAUAAAUAUUAAUAUAUUAUGUUCAGAAACACAAUGUGCUGACAUAGUAGAGAAAUAUCCAAUUGCAAUGAUAUAAAAUAAGUUAGGUAAAUGGCGAAAAAUAAUAAAGGAUAAAUGAAGACAAAAUAAAAUGAGAUGGUAAAAUCAAAUAGUAGGGGUUCGUCUGCCUGACUAGAUCCACGAAGCAUGGCUAUCUCCUGGCGAAGCUCGGCGAUCUCCUGGUAUAAACAAUCUAGCCUCGGUAGCGUGUGUGAGAUCGAAUACUCCCAUCUAAAAGGUGAGGUCAGCCCACCUCCUGCCUAAGCCCGACAAUCUCUCUACGACACUCUGCAAUCUGGGUGCGGAUGUCUGGUGUAACACCCGAUAAAAAAUAAGAUAAUUAUUUUAAUUUAAGUUAAUAUUAUAUUUAUUAAAUUUAAUUAAAUAAUUGGAAUUAUUGGAUAUUAUUAUUAUUAUUUAUUAUUAUUGGAAUAAUAAUUAUUGAAAAAUAUAUAUAAGUUGAAAAUAAGAAAAAAGAGUCCCAUUUGGUACAAAAAAAAGGGUUUCACGUGAAAAGCAGAGAAGCGGCUGAAAAGAGAAAAAGGGCAAAGAGACAAGAGCAAGAGGAAGAAGGUUGGAGAAGAGAAAAGCUUGAAGCUUAAGAAUUCACCGGAUUACUCAGGUAAGGGGGGUUUAUCGUCGUUUAAUGGGUAUUAAUGGGUUAACAUGUAAGGGUAGUGAUGAACAUUGAUUUGACCCUAAUUGGGAAUGUUGAUGCUGAAAAUUGUGAUGGAUAAGUUGUGUUAAAACUGAAAUUGAAUCUGUAAUUGGAUGGGGUAGUGAUUUUCCGAAAACGUAGCUUUUACGGAAUUGGAAUCGAGGUCCGGAAGUCCUCCAACGGCGGAAAAUGCGGAGAAUCUGCAUUCUGCUUUGUGUUAGCGCAGGAACAGCUUUCUGUCUUGCGUUAACCGGUUAACCCAGGGGUGUUAACCGGUUAACACUGUUGUGAAUUAUGAAAUAUUGGCUGUUUUGCUUGCGUUAAACCGGUUAACCCAGGCCGUUAACCGGUUAACACUGUUAAGUUUUGCCAGGAAGCGUGUUUUUGGUCUGCGUUAACCGGUUAACCCAGGGCGUUAACCGUUUAACACUGUUGAAAAGUGGGAAAAAUUGGUAUUUAAAUGUUGUUGUGCAUAUUUGAUGGUUGGCCUAUAUCGGUGUGUGAUAUAGUAGGGAUCAUUUCCCGUUGUUUGAGUAGUAUAGGUAUUAGUAGAGGGUGCUAAUACUGUGAUUGACUUAUUUGACAUGACAUGAUAUGAUUAUGCGAUAAAUAUGCUGAUGAUGUGUGAAAAUAUGCAUAAUGUUUGUGAAUGUAUAUAUUAUGUAUGUAAUGUGGAUGGACUGUUUUUAAUGGCUUAGAGUGUGAGCAAAUGUCCAUUUGUGGAUUGUUGUUGAUGUUUGCAUGACUAAGUAUUUAGCUUGCAUAUUGUGGCCUUUAUGGUGGAGCUAAUUCCCAUGGUGAGGAAAUUAGUGAGUAAAUCAUUGUGGAUUGUUGUUGUAUUUUGCAUGCUAGGUGAUUAGCGUGCAUAGCAUACCCUUGGGGUGGUAGCUAAUUCCCAUGGUGAGGAUUAGUGAGUGAGUCCACUAGGUCUCAAUGAGUGGACUAGUGAGCUUGGUAGCCGUAUCUGGAUUUGAUCGGUGAGGUUGAACUAUAUGUUUCAUGAAUAGUUGUACCGCAUGCAUGGAGUCUCAUUGCAUAGUGUAUGUAUGGUUAUAAUUGAAUGGAUUUAUUCCAAUAUUAUACGUGUGUUUUUGUGUUGGUGUUGAGUAUGAAUUGAAAUUAUACGUGGCUUUAUGUUGUGUUCCAGUAAUGAAUGUCUUCGAGUUGAUGUGUGCUCGUUACUGAUGUGUGUUAUGAUUAGGGUGAUUUGAAAUGUGUUAAUUAUCUUAACAUUGUCAUGAUAUUUUUAUAAUGCCUUAUUAAUCGAAUUGAGGAACUCACACCUUACAACUAUUUUUCAGGUAAGAGCAGUGAUUGAGUAGGAGCUAGGUGCUUGAAGUUCUAAGUGUAGUUCUUAGUGGGUCAUGCUCUGGUAGAUGUAAACAUCGGAUGGGAUGAUUUUUAAAUGUUUUAUUGUUGGUUUGUGAAGGCCAGUUACAUGUAAUAUGCUUACAUGUUUUGUAUGAAUUGAUUUAAUCUCUAUCGCUGCGUAUUAUGCAAAUAUGCUUUAGUUUUGAAUUCAAUAAAAAGAGCAUGACAGUUAUCAUGGUGAAUGGUGUGAAGUAAUUGUGUGACACCCUUAAUUGCAUAUUUACUCUGAUUGAUAUAUGUUGUUAUUUUAAUUAAACUUUUGGGGUAUUUUAGAAGGGUGUUUCAUUAGUGGUAUCAGAGCAUAGUCGGUCGAGUCGAGUCGUAAUUAUUCUGUUUCCCUGUACGUGAUAGGUGUUGUGCAACCCUAUCAGUACUUAUUGUUUUAGCUUGUUGGGUUUUCAGACUAGAGAUGGCUGGAAGAGGUAGAGACGAUGCUGCGAUUGCUGAGGCGCUGGGUAUGCUAGCUGGAGUACUUGGAGGGAAUCCGAAUGUUGUGGGAAUGGGAGCUGCUCGUCAACUGAUUGAGUUCCAGAAGAACAAUCCUUCAAUGUUCAAGGGAGCAUACGAUCCAGAUGGUGCUCAGAAGUGGUUGAAGGAGAUCGAGAGAAUCUUCCGAGUGACUGAGUGUGCCGAUAACCAGAAGGUCAGGUUCGGUACGCAUAUGCUGUCAGAGGAAGCAGAUGAUUGGUGGGUUGCUGCCCGCACUGAGUUGGAAGCUGCUGGGAGUGCUGAGAUCACUUGGGCGGUGUUCAGAGAGAGAUUCCUGAGGAAGUACUUUCCAGAGGAUGUCAGAGGAAAGAAAGAGAUAGAGUUCUUAGAAUUGAAGCAGGGCAACCGGUCUGUUACUGAGUAUGCUGCUAAGUUCACAGAGCUGUCGAAGUAUUACACUCCCUAUGAUGAGGCUACUGGGGAAUUUUCAAAAUGUGUGAAGUUUGAGAACGGGUUACGUCCCGAGAUCAAGCAGGCUAUUGGGUAUCAGCGGAUUAGAGUGUUUUCUGACUUGGUUGACUGUUGCAGGAUUUUUGAACAGGAUACCAAGGCCAGAGCGGAGAGCUAUCAGCAGAGGGUUGAUAGGAAAGGCAAGAAUCAGAAUGAUCGUGGGAAACCGUAUGCAGCUGGCAAAGGUUUCCAGAGACAGAGUGGGAUGAAGAGACCUAGUGGGGGAGACUCCAGUGCCCCUGCUAAGUGUUACAGAUGUGGUCAGGCUGGACAUCGUAUCCAUGAGUGUACCAGUACUGAGAAGAAGUGUUUCAAGUGUGGCAAAGGUGGUCACUUGGCUGCAGAGUGCCGGUUGAAGACUAUGACUUGUUUCAACUGUGGAGAGGUGGGUCAUAUCAGUCCACAGUGUCCUAAGCCGAAGAAAGAGAACCAGUCGGGAGGCAAGGUCUUUGCUUUAUCGGGUUCUGAGACUUCUGCAGAUGAUCGUUUGAUCCGAGGUACGUGUUAUAUUAAUGGCUUUCCUCUUGUAGCUAUUAUUGACACAGGUGCGACUCAUUCCUUUAUAUCUUUGGAUUGUGCUGUGAAACUUAAAUUAGAGAUAUCUGAGAUGCAUGGGAGUAUGGUGAUUGAUACUCCUGCGAAGGGUUCAGUGACUACUACUUCAGUUUGUUUAAAUUGUCCUUUGAGUAUUUUUGGUAGAGACUUUGGGAUGGACCUCGUGUGUCUUCCACUAGUGCAGAUUGAUGUUAUCCUGGGUAUGAACUGGUUGGUGUUUAACCGAGUUUAUAUCAACUGUUUUGAUAAGACUGUGAUCUUUCCUGAGAUUGAGGAAGGAAAGAGUUUGUUUCUAUCAGCAAGGCAGGUGAAUGAGGCAGUAGCAGAUGGGGCAGAGUUGUUUAUGCUGUUAGCGACUUUGGAGGCUAAAGAUAAACUGGUGAUUUGCGAUCUAGCCGUGGUGUGUGAUUUUCCUGAUGUGUUUCCUGAAGAAGUGAAUGAAUUACCGCCAGAGCGUGAAGUUGAGUUCUCGAUUGAUUUGGUACCUGGUACUAGGCCGAUAUCGAUGGCUCCGUACCGUAUGUCUGCUGUUGAGUUAACUGAAUUGAAGAGUCAGCUGGAAGAUCUGUUGGAUAAGAAAUUUAUUCGUCCGAGUGUGUCACCGUGGGGCGCACCAGUGUUAUUGGUUAAGAAGAAAGAAGGUACUAUGAGGUUGUGUGUGGACUACAGGCAACUGAAUAAAGUGACGAUCAAGAAUCGGUAUCCUUUGCCGAGGAUUGAUGAUUUGAUGGAUCAGUUGGUUGGUGCGAGUGUGUUCAGCAAAAUAGAUUUGAGAUCGGGGUAUCAUCAGAUACGUGUGAAAACUGAGGAUAUUCAGAAGACUGCUUUCAGAACAAGGUAUGGACAUUAUGAGUAUUCUGUAAUGCCUUUUGGUGUGACUAAUGCGCCUGGGGUAUUUAUGGAGUAUAUGAAUAGGAUUUUCCAUCCGUACCUAGACAAGUUUGUUGUGGUGUUUAUUGACGAUAUUUUGGUGUAUUCGAAAUCUGAAGAAGAGCAUGCUGAACAUUUGAGAGUGGUUUUAGGAGUUCUACGAGAAAAGAAGUUAUUUGCUAAACUGUCCAAGUGUGAAUUUUGGUUAGAAGAGGUUAGUUUUCUUGGUCAUGUGGUUUCAAGAGGUGGUGUUGCUGUUGAUCCUUCUAAGAUAGAAGCGGUAUCUAAGUGGGAAGCUCCGAAGUCAGUUUCUGAGAUAAGGAGUUUUCUUGGACUUGCAGGUUAUUAUAGGAAAUUCAUUGAGGGAUUUUCUAAGUUGGCGUUACCGUUGACGAUGUUGACUAGAAAGGGGCAAGCGUUUGUUUGGGACUCAAAAUGUGAAGAAGGUUUCCAAGAGUUAAAGAGAAGGUUAACUACUGCUCCUAUUCUGAUAUUACCAAGUCCGUCGGAACCAUUUGAGGUUUACUGUGAUGCUUCAUUGUUGGGUUUGGGUGGUGUUUUGAUGCAGAAUAAGCAGGUUGUAGCUUAUGCUUCGAGACAACUGAAGGUUCAUGAGAGGAACUAUCCGACACACGAUUUAGAGUUGGCAGCUGUGGUAUUUGUUCUGAAGUUAUGGAGGCAUUACUUGUACGGGUCAAGAUUUGAGGUUUUCAGUGACCAUAAAAGUUUAAAGUAUUUGUUUGAUCAGAAAGAGCUGAAUAUGAGACAGAGGAGAUGGUUAGAGUUUCUGAAGGAUUAUGACUUUGGUUUGAAUUACCAUCCGGGUAAAGCAAACGUAGUGGCUGAUGCAUUGAGUCGGAAAUCAUUGCAUAUGUCUAUGUUAAUGGUUAAGGAAUUGGAUUUAAUUGAGCAGUUUAGAGACUUGAGUUUGGUGUGUGAGAGUACUCACAAUAGUGUUAAAUUGGGAAUGUUGAAGUUAACGAGUGGUAUUCUGGAUGAGAUUAGAGAGGGUCAGAAAUCCGAUGUGCUUUUGGUUGAUAAGUUGACUCUAGUGAAUCAAGGUCAAGGUGGUGAAUUCAGAGUUGAUGAGAAUGGUGUUUUGAAAUUUGGUAAUCGGGUGUGUAUUCCGGAUGUUACCGAACUUAAGAAGAGUAUUCUUGAGGAAGGACAUCGUAGUGGCCUGAGUAUUCAUCCUGGGGCUACGAAGAUGUAUCAUGAUUUGAAAAAGUUAUUUUGGUGGCCGGGAAUGAAAAGAGAAAUUGCGAGUUUUGUUUAUUCUUGUUUGACUUGUCAGAAGUCAAAGAUUGAGCAUCAGAAGCCGUCUGGGCUAAUGCAACCGUUGGCUAUUCCAGAGUGGAAGUGGGAUAGUAUCAGUAUGGAUUUUGUUUCUGGUUUACCGAGGACAAUUAAGAAUUUUGAAGCUAUUUGGGUGAUUGUUGACAGAUUGACAAAAUCGGCUCAUUUCAUUCCGAUCAGAAUGGAUUAUCCGUUAGAGAGAUUAGCUGAGUUGUAUAUUGAGAAAAUUGUAAGUUUGCAUGGUAUUCCGUCGAGUAUUGUUUCGGACAGAGAUCCUAGAUUUACAUCGAAGUUCUGGGAAGGUUUGCAGAGGGCUUUGGGAACUAAGCUGAGAUUGAGUUCUGCAUAUCAUCCGCAGACUGAUGGUCAGACUGAGAGGACGAUUCAGUCACUGGAGGAUCUUUUGAGGGCUUGUGUUUUGGAAAAGGGAGGUGCUUGGGAUUGUUAUUUACCUUUGAUUGAGUUUACCUACAACAAUAGUUUUCAUUCGAGCAUUGGUAUGGCACCGUUUGAAGCUUUGUAUGGUAGGAGAUGUCGGACACCUUUAUGUUGGUAUGAGUCCGGUGAGAGUGCUGUGGUUGGACCGGAGAUUGUUCAACAAACUACGGAAAAGAUUAAGAUGAUUCAGGAGAAGAUGAGGAUUGCUCAGAGUCGUCAGAAGAGUUAUCACGACAAGAGGAGGAAGUCACUUGAGUUUCAAGAGGGAGAUCAUGUGUUUCUUCGUGUUACUCCGAUAACUGGGGUUGGUCGAGCUUUGAAGUCGAAGAAGUUGACACCUCGAUUUAUUGGUCCUUAUCAGAUUUUGGAGAGGAUAGGGGAGGUAGCCUAUCGUAUCGCUUUACCGCCGUCACUUGCGAAUUUGCAUGAGGUUUUUCAUGUGUCUCAGUUGAGGAGGUACAUUCCUGAUCCGUCGCAUGUAGUCCAAGUAGAUGAUGUACAGGUGAGAGAUAACCUGACUGUUGAAACAUCACCUAUGAGGAUCGAGGAUCGAGAGUUGAAGCAGUUGCGGGGUAAAGAGAUUGCUUUGGUAAAGGUAGCUUGGGGAGGACCAGCAGGUGGCAAUGUGACUUGGGAACUUGAGAGUCAGAUGAAGGAGUCUUAUCCGGAGUUAUUCGCUUGAGGUAUGUUUUCGAGGACGAAAACUCUUUUAGUGGGGGAGAGUUGUAACACCCCGAUAAAAAUAAGAUAAUUAUUUAAUUUAAGUUAAUAUUAUAUUUAUUAAUUUAAUUAAAUAAUUGGAAUUUUUGGAUUAUGAUUAUUAUUAUUAUUAUUAUUAUUGGAAUAAUAAUUAUUGGAAAAUAUAUAUAAGUUGGAAAUAAGAAAAAGAGUCCCAUUUGGUAAAGAAAGGGUUUCACGUGAAAAGCAGAGAAGCGGCUGAAAAGAGGAAAAGGGCAAAGAGACAGAGCAAGAGGAAGAAGGUUGGAGAAGAGAAAAGCUUGAAGCUUAAAGAUUUGCCGGAUUAACUCAGGUAAGGGGGGUUUAUCGUCGUUUAAUGGGUAUUAUGGGUUAACAUGUAAUGGGUAGUAAUAAGCCGUUGAAUUGACCCUAAUUGGGAUGAUGAGUGCUGAAAAAUUGUGAUGAAUAAGUUAUGUUAAAGCUGUAAUUGAAUCUAUAUUUGGGUGAGUUGUGAUUUUCCGAACGUGUAGCUUUUUACGGAAUUGGAAUCGGAGGUCCGGAAGUCCUCCAACGGCGGAAAAUGCGGAGAAUUCUGCAUUCUUCUUCGUGUUAGCGCAGGAACAGCUUUCUGUCUUGCGUUAACCGGUUAACCCAGGGUGUUAACCGGUUAACACUGUUACGAAUUGAGAAAUAUUGCUGUUUUGCCUGCGUUAACCGGUUAACCCAGGGCGUUAACCGGUUAACACUGUUGUGAUUUCUGAAAAAUUGCUGUUCUGUCUGCGUUAACCGGUUAACCCAGGGCGUUAACCGGUUAACACUGUUAAAAUUGGCCAGGAAGCGUGUUUUGUCCUGCGUUAACCGGUUAACCCAGGGCGUUAACCGGUUAACACUGUUGGAAAUUGGAAAAAUUGAUAUUUUAAUGUUGUGAACAUAAUUGGUGAUUGGCCUAUAUCGGUGUGUGAUAUAGUAGGGAUUAUUUCCCGUUGUUUUGAGUAGGAUAGGUAUUAGUAGAGUGUGCUAAUACUGUGAUUGAAUUAUUUGGCAUGACAUGAUAUGAUUAUGUGAUAAAUAUGCUGAUGAUGUGUGAAAAUAUGCAUAAUGUUGUGAAUGUAUAUAUUAUGUAUGUAAUUGUGGAUGGACUGUUUUAUGGCUUAGAGUGUGAGCAUAUGUCCAUUGUGGAUUGUUGUUGAUGUUGCAUGCUAGGUGAUUUGGCAUAGCAUAAUGUGGCCUUUAUGGUGGUAGCUAAUUCCCAUGGUGAGGAAUUAGUGAUGUUAGUCAUUUUGGACUGUUGUUGAUGUUUGCAUGCUAGGUGAUUAGCGUGCAUAGCAUGGCCCUUGGGGUGGUAGCUAAUUCCCAUGGUGAGGAAUUAGUGAUGUGAGUCACUAGGUCUCAAAUGAGUGGGACUAGUGAGCUUGGUAGCCGUACCUGGAUUUGGUCGGUGAGGUUGAACUAUAUGUUCACGAAUAGUCGGUACCGCAUGCAUGGAGUCUCAUUGCAUAAUGUAUGUAUGGCGUAUAAUAUGAAUGGAUGUAUUCCAAUAUUAUACGUGUGUUUUGUGUUGGUGUUGAGUAUGAAUUGAGAUUAUACGUGUGCUUUAUGUUGGUGUUGAGUAUGAUGUUUGAGUUGAUGUGCCGUUACUGAAUGUGUGUUAUGAUUAGGGUGAUGAAAUGUGUUAAAUUACUUAACAUUGCAUGAUAUUUUAUAAUGCUUAUUAUAUCGAUUGAGGAACUCACCCUUACAACUAUUUUUCAGGUAACGAGCAGUGAUUGAGUAGGAGCUAGUGCUUGAAGUCUAGUGUAGUUCCUUAGUGGGUCAUGCUCUGGUAGAUGUAACAUCGGGAUGGGAUGUUUUAAAUGUUUUAUUGUUGGUUGUGAACCAGUUUACAUGUAAUAUGCUACAUGUUUUGCAUGAUUGAUUUAAUCUCUAUCCGCUGCGUAUUGUGCAAAUGCUUUAUGUUUUGAAUUAAUAAAAGAGCAUGACAGUUAUCAUGGUGAAUGGUGUGAAGUAAUUGUGUGACACCCUUAAUUGCAUAUUUACUCUGAUUGAUAUAUGUUGUUAUUUUAAUUAAACUUUUGGGGUAUUUUAGAAGGGUGUUACAUCUGGGGUCUGCAAUGAUAAAUUGUUAGAGAAUACAGUGAUCCUGGGUGAAGGCGGUGUAGGGGUAUACUCAACAAUAGAUGGGGAUCUGGGCUCCUCGAUAGUCUCUCCCUGGCCCUCCAAAGCAUAACUCCAGUUAGCUGGGUCAUGAACACUAGUCAUCAUAGGAUCAGGCAGUGUUAAAUAAUGUAUCGCCUCGCUAUCGAUCAGCAGUCUGAACUGUCUCGGAUUGAACGAGGAUCUCCUCAUCAAUCCUCUGGUCAAGCAAAAGUCGAUAUCCAUAGUAGUAUACCCACAGUGGGUCCUGAGAUGUAACAGCUUACGGGAUAGACCUAAGGCGAUGACUGUAACACCCCGAUAAAAAUAAGAUAAUUAUUUAAUUUAAGUUAAUAUUAUAUUUAUUAAUUUAAUUAAAUCAUUGGAAUUAUUGGAUUAUUAUUAUUAUUAUUGGAAUAAUAAUUAUUGGAAAGUAUAUAAGUUGGAAAUAAGAAAAAAGUUUCAUUUUGGUAAAGAGGGUUUUACGUGAAAAGCAGAGAAGCGGCUGAAAAGAGGAAAAGGGCAAAGAGACAGAGCAAGAGGAAGAAGGUUGGAGAAGAGAAAAGCUUGAAGCUUAAAGAUUCGCCGGAUUAACUCAGGUAAGGGGGNNNNNNNNNNNNNNNNNNNNNNNNNNNNNNNNNNNNNNNNNNNNNNNNNNNNNNNNNNNNNNNNNNNNNNNNNNNNNNNNNNNNNNNNNNNNNNNNNNNNNNNNNNNNNNNNNNNNNNNNNNNNNNNNNNNNNNNNNNNNNNNNNNNNNNNNNNNNNNNNNNNNNNNNNNNNNNNNNNNNNNNNNNNNNNNNNNNNNNNNNNNNNNNNNNNNNNNNNNNNNNNNNNNNNNNNNNNNNNNNNNNNNNNNNNNNNNNNNNNNNNNNNNNNNNNNNNNNNNNNNNNNNNNNNNNNNNNNNNNNNNNNNNNNNNNNNNNNNNNNNNNNNNNNNNNNNNNNNNNNNNNNNNNNNNNNNNNNNNNNNNNNNNNNNNNNNNNNNNNNNNNNNNNNNNNNNNNNNNNNNNNNNNNNNNNNNNNNNNNNNNNNNNNNNNNNNNNNNNNNNNNNNNNNNNNNNNNNNNNNNNNNNNNNNNNNNNNNNNNNNNNNNNNNNNNNNNNNNNNNNNNNNNNNNNNNNNNNNNNNNNNNNNNNNNNNNNNNNNNNNNNNNNNNNNNNNNNNNNNNNNNNNNNNNNNNNNNNNNNNNNNNNNNNNNNNNNNNNNNNNNNNNNNNNNNNNNNNNNNNNNNNNNNNNNNNNNNNNNNNNNNNNNNNNNNNNNNNNNNNNNNNNNNNNNNNNNNNNNNNNNNNNNNNNNNNNNNNNNNNNNNNNNNNNNNNNNNNNNNNNNNNNNNNNNNNNNNNNNNNNNNNNNNNNNNNNNNNNNNNNNNNNNNNNNNNNNNNNNNNNNNNNNNNNNNNNNNNNNNNNNNNNNNNNNNNNNNNNNNNNNNNNNNNNNNNNNNNNNNNNNNNNNNNNNNNNNNNNNNNNNNNNNNNNNNNNNNNNNNNNNNNNNNNNNNNNNNNNNNNNNNNNNNNNNNNNNNNNNNNNNNNNNNNNNNNNNNNNNNNNNNNNNNNNNNNNNNNNNNNNNNNNNNNNNNNNNNNNNNNNNNNNNNNNNNNNNNNNNNNNNNNNNNNNNNNNNNNNNNNNNNNNNNNNNNNNNNNNNNNNNNNNNNNNNNNNNNNNNNNNNNNNNNNNNNNNNNNNNNNNNNNNNNNNNNNNNNNNNNNNNNNNNNNNNNNNNNNNNNNNNNNNNNNNNNNNNNNNNNNNNNNNNNNNNNNNNNNNNNNNNNNNNNNNNNNNNNNNNNNNNNNNNNNNNNNNNNNNNNNNNNNNNNNNNNNNNNNNNNNNNNNNNNNNNNNNNNNNNNNNNNNNNNNNNNNNNNNNNNNNNNNNNNNNNNNNNNNNNNNNNNNNNNNNNNNNNNNNNNNNNNNNNNNNNNNNNNNNNNNNNNNNNNNNNNNNNNNNNNNNNNNNNNNNNNNNNNNNNNNNNNNNNNNNNNNNNNNNNNNNNNNNNNNNNNNNNNNNNNNNNNNNNNNNNNNNNNNNNNNNNNNNNNNNNNNNNNNNNNNNNNNNNNNNNNNNNNNNNNNNNNNNNNNNNNNNNNNNNNNNNNNNNNNNNNNNNNNNNNNNNNNNNNNNNNNNNNNNNNNNNNNNNNNNNNNNNNNNNNNNNNNNNNNNNNNNNNNNNNNNNNNNNNNNNNNNNNNNNNNNNNNNNNNNNNNNNNNNNNNNNNNNNNNNNNNNNNNNNNNNNNNNNNNNNNNNNNNNNNNNNNNNNNNNNNNNNNNNNNNNNNNNNNNNNNNNNNNNNNNNNNNNNNNNNNNNNNNNNNNNNNNNNNNNNNNNNNNNNNNNNNNNNNNNNNNNNNNNNNNNNNNNNNNNNNNNNNNNNNNNNNNNNNNNNNNNNNNNNNNNNNNNNNNNNNNNNNNNNNNNNNNNNNNNNNNNNNNNNNNNNNNNNNNNNNNNNNNNNNNNNNNNNNNNNNNNNNNNNNNNNNNNNNNNNNNNNNNNNNNNNNNNNNNNNNNNNNNNNNNNNNNNNNNUAGGGUGAGUUAAUGUGCUUAUUUUAACUUUUAGCAGUACGAUGAUAUUUUAUAAUUGCUUAUUAUAUCGAUUGAGCGAACUCAACCCUUACCAACUAUUUUUCAAGGGUAACGAGCACGCGUGAUUGAGUAGAAGCUAGGUGCUUGGAGUCUAGUUAGUACGUCCUUAGAUGGCGAUCCGAUGCCUGGAUAGAUCUGUAACAUCGGGACGGGAUGUUUUACCUUGUAUUGAAAUAAUUUACAUGUAAUGUGUUACAAUGUUUGCCCAUGAUUGAUUUGACUUUCUAUCCUGCUGCGUAUGUGCAAAUUGCUUUAGUUAUUGACAUUAAUAAAGAGACAUAGAGCAUGACAGUUAUUAUGGUGAAUGGUGUGUAAUGAUUGUGUGACACCCUUAAUUGCAUAUUUACUCUGAUUGAUAUAUUGUUAUUUUAAUUAAAUAUUUGGGGUAUUUUAGAAGGGUGUUACAAUGACAAUCUGUGUGAUGAUCCCUCCUACAUGAAUGACUCCUUCGGACGAUCUGGAAACACCAUUGAGGCCACACAACAGAAAGUUCCCACAUGCCACUGGGAGAGAUUGGGAUGCACAAAAUAGCAGGAAUAUCUCCUCCUCACUUAGUAACAUCUCAGCAUCUGGUCUUCCUAGGAAGGAGUGAGCCAGUAUCAUCUGGAAGUAUCUAAAAGUAGGGUUGUGUAUAGCCUGAGAUAACUGAGUAGAAGUAUCCUGACUCCCUCCACCAGAGAUAUCACUCUAGAACUUUUCCACUUCCUUACCCAGAAAGUAUCUCAUUGGUGUCUCAGGGAUAACGUCAGGGGUGGUCUGGAAACCUAAUAGGUCACCGAACUCCUUCUGGCUGAAAGAUUACUCAAUUCCAAAGAGCCUGAAAGUAGCAUACCCAUCUGGUCCAGAGUAGGGGUCAUAAUCAAAUGAACUGAGGAACUCCAAUGUCAAGUUCCUUUAGGUGUUGCUCAGGUCGUCAGCGAACUCGUCCCAAUGGAGCUGGUGGCUCAGAAAUCGGAUGCUUGGCUCAAUGCCUAGGGCUUCCAUGCAGUGCUGAUCUGGAUAGCGUGUGGGCGCCAUAGGGCGCUGGUAAAGAGCUAAGUAGUGCUCUCUUUGGGCAUCAUCUCUAUAGGCUACGUGCAUAUCGUCGAAGUCCUACAUCCUGUAAAAGUUAGGAAAAGGGGUCCUGAAAAUACAAACAUUUCAAAUAUUUAGUCUCGGUGAAAAUAUGAUAAAAAAUAAAAAAUAAAAAUAAAAUAAAGUAAAUACAAAAAAGUAAAACAAGGUAAGAAAACCAUGGGUUGCCUCCCAAGCAGCGCUUGUUUAACGUCAUUAGCUUGACGAUCGGAAUUUAUACACCUGUAGUAGGGAUCGGUGGAUCAAUCAGAGUGUGGCUUGAGGAGUCUGUUGGAAUGUCUCCUCCUUCGUAUAGCUUCAGUCUUUGUCCAUUUACCAUGAAUGGACUACAAGUUUCGUUCUUGAUUUCUACGACUCCGGAUCUCAGAAUCUUGGAUACUUUGAAAGGGCCAGUCCAUCUCGAGCACAGCUUCCCAGGGAAAAGUCAUAACCUAGAGUUGAACAAGAGAACAGGGUCGCCUAUAUUGAAAUCUUUCUUUACUACUCUUUUGUCAUGCCAAGCUUUUGUUCUUUCUUUGUAUAUUUUGGCAUUCUCGUAGGCAGAUUGCCUGAGUUCUUCUAGUUUGUGAAUGUCAAGGAUACGCUUUUCACCAGCGUCAAGUAAUCUAAAUUCAAAGUUGUAAUGGCCCAAUAGGCCUUAUGCUCUAAUUCGAAAGGUAAGUGACAGGAUUUUCCAUAGACUAGUUGGUAGGGAGUUGUUUCUAUAGGGGUUUUGAAAGCGGUUCUAUAAGCCCAUAAUGAUUCUUGAAGCUUCUGAGACCAGUCUCUUCUAGAUAUUGAAACAGUUUUUUCUAGGAUUCAUUUUAUCUCCCUAUUGGAUACUUCUACUUGGCCACUAGUCUGUGGGUGGUAUGGUGUUGCUACUAUAUGCCUAACUCCAUAUUUUCUUAAAAGUUUAUCAAAUAUUCUUGAUAUGAAGUGUGAUCCUCCAUCGCUUAUGACUAAAUGUGGUGUUCCAAAUCUAGGGAAUAUGUAGUUUUUAAAUAACUUGAUCACCACCCUAGUAUCAUUUGUGGGUGCAGCUAUAGCUUGAAUCCACUUAGACACGUAGUCUACAACUACUAAGAUAUACUUGUUUCCUAAGGAUGGUGGGAAAGGUCCCAUGAAAUCUAUACCCCAUACGUCGAAGAGUUCUACUUCCUGAAUGUUUCUUACAGGCAUCUCGUCACGCCUUGAAAUGUUUCCAACGCGUUGGCAUCUAUCACAUUUGACAAUGCAAGCAUGGACAUCACGCCACAUGGUAGGCCAGAAUAGGCCAGCUUGAAGAAUCUUGGCGUAUGUCUUAGAGGUGCUCACAUGUCCACCAUAUGGUGCAGAGUGAUAAUGCUCAAUUAUACUUUUUACCUCCUCUUCUGGAACGCAACGGCGAAAAAUGCCAUCUUUAACCCUUUUGAAAAGGAGCGGUUCGUCCCAAUAAAAGUUUCUCACAUCGUUAAACAACUUCUUCUUGCGGUGGUAGUCAAGAUCAGGGGGUACGAUAUCAGCAGCUAGGUAAUUAACAAAGUCUACAUAUCAUGGUACGUUACUUAUGGCUAAGGAUUUUUGGAAGUGCUCAUGAGGGCCUAGGUUAUCGUCUUCAAUGGUUUCUAGUCUAGCUAUCAGUCUAUCAUAGGCAAAAUCAUCAUUUAUGGGUACUGAGUCUGGUUUUAGGUGUUCUAGCCUAGAAAGGUGAUCAGCUACUACAUUUUCAGUGCCUUUUUUAUCUCUUAUAUCUAAAUCAAACUCUUGUAGUAACAAAAUCCAUUGGAGUAACCUGGGCUUGGCAUCUUUUUUACUUAAUAGGUAACGAAUGACAGCAUGAUCAGUGUAAACUAUAAUUUUUGCUCCUACUAGAUAAGAUCUAAAUUUGUCUAUAGCGAAAACUACAGCGAGUAAUUCCUUUUCAGUUGUUGCGUAGUUAAGUUGGGCAACAUCUAGGGUUCUACUGGCAUAAUAAAUGGCAUGUAAUUUUUUAUCUUUCCUCUGUCCUAGAACGGCUCCAACGGCAUAAUCACUAGCGUCGCACAUUAUCUCAAAAGGUUCUGACCAAUCAGGGGGUUUCAUAAUAGGUGCUGAUAUUAAUGCUUGCUUUAAAAGAUUAAAUGCUUCAUCACAUUUUCCAUCGAAAAUGAAUUCAACAUCUUUCAUUAAAAGGCCAGUUAAAGGUUUAGUUAUUUUGGAGAAGUCCUUGAUAAAACACCGGUAGAAUCCAGCAUGUCCAAGAAAACUUCGGGCUUUUCUGAUAGUUUUGGAUGGUUUUAGGUUCUCUGUAACUUCUAUCUUAGCCCUAUCUACCUCUAUACCUUUUUCAGAAACUAUAUGUCCUAAAACAAUUCCUUCGGUCACCAUGAAAUGACACUUUUCCCAAAUUAGUACAAGGUUCACCUCCACGCAUCUCUCCAGGAUUUUCUCAAGGUUAGUAAGACAAUUGUGGAAAUCAAAUCCGCAAACCGAGAAAUCGUCCAUAAACACUUCCAUGAUACCAUCUAGGUAAUCUGCAAAGAUUGACAUCAUGCAGCGUUGGAAAGUGGAUGGGGCAUUACAGAGGCCGAAUGGCAUUCGUCUGUAGGCAAAAGUUCCAUAAGGGCAUGUAAAGGUAGUUUUUUCUUGAUCUUCGGGGUGGAUAGGUAUUUGGAAGAAUCCAGAGUAUCCAUCUAGAUAGCAGAAGUAAGAGUGUCUGGCUAGACGCUCCAACAUCUGGUCUAUAAAUGGUAAAGGGAAAUGAUCCUUCCUGGUUGCUUUAUUUAACUUUCUAUAAUCUAUACACAUCCGUCAUCCUCCUUCCAUCCAUUUUGCUACAUGUUCGCCUUUAUCGUUUUGCACGACUGUGAUGCCUCCCUUUUUAGGUACUACAUGCACAUGGCUCACCCACUUACUAUCCGAGAUAUGAUAGAUUAUACCUGCCUCAAGUAACUUAAGAACUUCUUUUUUAACAACAUCACUCAUUAUAGGGUUUAUUCUUCUUUGAUGUUCUCUGGAGGGUUUUGAAUCUUCUUCGAGCGAAAUCCGAUGCAUGCAUACGGAUGGGCUUAUACCUUUCAGGUCAGAGAUACUAUAUCCUAAGGCUGAGGGAUAUCUUCGUAAAACAUUUAAAAGUUGGUAUGUUUCCUCUUGGCUCAAGGUAGCACUGACUAUAACUGGACGGUUCAUCUCUUCAUCGAGGAACUCAUAUCUCAGGUUCUUAGGCAGUUCCUUAAGCUCUAAGGUUGGUUCCUUAGGGCAUGGCAUAGGAUCUAGGGUAAGGGAUAAACAUUCGUAAAGGUUAUCAUCGAUGUAGGGUUUUCUAAAGUCAUCAUCUUCCAGUAUGAGAGUUGAUGGCAACUUAAUUGUUUUUAUGAUUUCUUCUUGUUCUAAUUCCCUAACGCACUCAUCAAUGAUAUCUAAGGCAUAACAUGCAUCUCCCAUCACAGGUGCCAUAAGAAAUUUCGAAAGUAUAAAUUCUAUUUUCUCGUCACCUACCUCAAAGGUCAACUUUCCUCUCUUGACAUCUAUUAGACUUAGGAGCUAGUAGUUGAGCUUAAUUGCUUUAGCAGUUUGGUUGAGAGGUUAAACUUAGGAGAAUUACAGCCUAUUAAGAUGUCACUCAGUUUAGCGAUAGAUCCGUUAAGUAUCCGAUAGGCAUUCUAGAAGAUGUCCCUUGUUAGGAUAGGUCAAUUAUUUAUCCCUGCUAUUUUAUUGNNNNNNNNNNNNNNNNNNNNNNNNNNNNNNNNNNNNNNNNNNNNNNNNNNNNNNNNNNNNNNNNNNNNNNNNNNNNNNNNNNNNNNNNNNNNNNNNNNNNNNNNNNNNNNNNNNNNNNNNNNNNNNNNNNNNNNNNNNNNNNNNNNNNNNNNNNNNNNNNNNNNNNNNNNNNNNNNNNNNNNNNNNNNNNNNNNNNNNNNNNNNNNNNNNNNNNNNNNNNNNNNNNNNNNNNNNNNNNNNNNNNNNNNNNNNNNNNNNNNNNNNNNNNNNNNNNNNNNNNNNNNNNNNNNNNNNNNNNNNNNNNNNNNNNNNNNNNNNNNNNNNNNNNNNNNNNNNNNNNNNNNNNNNNNNNNAAAGUAUAAAUUCUAUUUUCUCGUCACCUACCUCAAAGGUCAACUUUCCUCUCUUGACAUCUAUUAUGGCUCCUGCAGUUGAUAAGAACGGUCUACCUAGAAGGAUUGGUAUAUCAUUGUCCUCUUUGAUGUCCAUGACAAUAAAAUCAGCAGGGAUAAAUAAUUGACCUAUCCUAACAGGGACAUCUUCUAGAAUGCCUAUCGGAUACUUAACGGAUCUAUCGGCUAACUGAAGUGACAUCUUAGUAGGCUGUAAUUCUCCUAAGUUUAACCUCUCACAAACUGCUAAAGGCAUUAAGCUCACACUAGCUCCUAAGUCUAGAAAAGCUUUUUCGAUGACAUGACUUCCCAAAAGACAAGGAAUGGAGAAAUUUCCAGGAUCUUUAUCCUUUUUUGCUAACUUAUUCUCGGAAAUAGAAUUGCAUUCCAAGGGUUUCGGAUUGUCGAGUCUACGUUUGUUGGUAAGGAUGUCUUUGAAUUUUUUUGCAUAAGAAGGUAUUUGGGUGAUGGCUUCUGUGAAAGGGAUUUCUACGUGAAGUUUUUCUAUAACUUUAAUAAAUUUCUAAUACUGGUUAUUGAUCUGGGUUUGUUUGAGUCUUUGCAGAUAUGGUAUAAGUGGUUUAUACAGCGGGGGUGGUAUAUAAGUUUUAUCUUUAGGUUUUUCUCCUUUUUCUUGACCUUCCUGUUUUUCAGAUUCCUCUGGUUCCUUUACUUUGUCCGUGGGUUCGGUAUAUUCCUUAGAAGUUUUGGGUUCACGCAAUCUUGGGUUUGGUGGCUCAUCAAAAGCAUUCCCACUUCGUAGGGUAAUGGUAUUGGCUUGCCCUCGCGGAUUUUGUUGAGGUUGUCCAGGGAACUGUCCUCCAGGUGUGGUUUUGGGAGUUUGGUUUAAAUCUACCUGAGAGAUAUGGGUUUCAAGCAUCUUGGUAUGAGUAACUAUUUGGUCAACCUUAGUUCCUAAUUGGGUAAUCAGUUCGUUAACGUGAAUGUUUUGGUUCAUGAACUCUUUGUUUUGUUGGGUUUGAGCAGUGAUAAAAUUUUCCAUAAUUUUCUCAAGGCUCGGCUUUGGUGGCACAGGUUGCAUAAGUUGAUUUGAUCUUGGGGCUUGGUAACCUGGUUGUCUCGGAGGUGCAUUAUUUUGGAUUGGGUUAUUGUUCUUAUAGGAGAAGUUCAGGUGAUUCCUCCAUCCAGGUUUAUAAGUAUUCGAGUAUGGGUUCCCUUGGGUGUAGUUCACUUGCUCAUAGUGGGUUUCGUUUAAUAGACUGCAUUCUGCAGAUUGAUGUCCUUUGGUUCCACAUAUCUCACAAUCCGACGAAACUGCAGCUCAGUAUUCGGGGUUAUGCACAUAUGCUCGACCUUGAGGGCUAAUGCGUCCAUUUUGGCUUGCAUCAUGUCUAUAAAGCUUAGUUCAUGUACUCCUCCUUGGGCUUCCUUCUUCUCAACUGUCACUCGUUCGACUCCCCAUGAUUGAUGGUUUUGGGCCAUAUCUUCGAUGAGGGCACUAACUUCAGGGUAAGGUUUGUUCAUCAGCGCACCGCCUACGGCAGCGUCGAUGGUCAUCUUAGUGUUAUAGUGAAGUCCAUUAUAGAAGGUCUGAAUGAUUAACCAAUUUUCUAAACCAUGAUGUGGGCAUGCUUAACAACUCUUUGGAUCUCUCCUAAGCUUCGAACAACGAUUCUCCUUGGUUCUGGGUAAAUCUAGUUAUAUGGUUUCGAAGAACGACGGUCUUACGUGGGGGAAAGUAUCUAGCAAGGAAUACUCUUCUAAGGUUAUCCCAAGUCGUAAUGGAAUUGGGUGGAAGGGAAUCUAACCAUGAUAAGGCUUUAUCUCUGAGGGAAAAAGGGAAUAAUCUUAAACGGAUUGCCUCAGGAGAAGCUCCAUUGGUUUUAAACGUGUCUGCUAAUUGGAGAAAUAUUUUUAAAUGUUGGUUUGGGUUCUCAGUAGCGAGACCUGCGAAUUGUCUCUGUUGCACUAGUUGCAACAGGGAGGGUUUAAGUUCGAAAUUAUUAGCUGGGAUGGUUUGUUUACUAUACUAGAACUAGGUUCUUCGUUGGAUGGUUGGGCUAAAUCCUUAAGAGGUCUUUGGUUUUGAUCUUCGGCCAUAGCUCUCCUAAUUCUAUGGAAAAAUAAAUGUGCGCGAGCGUAACGUUCAGGUUCCACCAGAGGGUAUACUAAGCUUCUGGUGCUGCGAGUUCUUCGCAUUGACCGGUGGGUAAUAACCUAAGUCUAAACGAUAUAACAACAGGGAACGAAAUUUGACGAAAUUGAUCCCCGGAAACGACGCCAAAAUUUUGAUGCGUGAUUUUUGCAAGUAUACGAACGCAUCAGAGUAAUAUAAAAGAUUGUCGAAUCCACAGAGACCAAGUGUCAAUCUAUCGUUAUCUAUUGUUAUGGUGUUUAUCUAAGGUAAUCAAAAUAGGGGUUUUUAGGGUGUGCAGUGAAGAGUAAAGUAUUAAACUAAAUUAAAUUAAUAAAGACAGGCUCGAAUGUAAUUCACAUAAUCAAUUAAUAAUCCAAGUACUUGCUAAUAGAACUACUUAUGGGCAGUGUUUCCUACUUUGAGAAGAACCAAUUUAACAGGAACUGUCGCUUUCGCAUAUUCAAAACUGAGUUGUACUCCCUAAUCAAACCCUCUUAUUGUCACUUAUAAAAAGGCGCGCAUUGCGUUAGAGUAGUAAACCUAUUUUUAAGAAAUAUAGUAUCUUGACUAAGUUGAAAAGUAUUUUAUUCAAAACUGAGUUGUACUCCCUAAUCAAACCCUCUUAUUGUCACUUAUAAAAAGGCGCGCAUUGCGUUAGAGUAGUAAACCUAUUUUUAAGAAAUAUAGUAUCUUGACUAAGUUGAAAAGUAUUUUAAUCUGGAAUUCUUAACCGAAAGAGGUUCUCACGAACCGGACUCUAAACUUAUAAACGCGUCCGAAAAUAGUUUUAAAAACCACUUUUCUUCUUAAGUUAAAAACUCCUAAUGAACUAAACAAAGCGCUUUCGCUGUAUUUGAAAUUGUUUAAAACAACUAAGUUUAAAAAGACGUUGGACGACUUUCGAUCUUACCCAGCGGAAAUUAAGUGCAGGAGAACUUAAGUUGAAAGUCAAAAUAGCCCUUAAGUGUUUCUACGAACAAUUAUACGGAUUAUCGGUUCAAUUACGGUCCUUACAUUAUAACCUUUAUAGAUUUAGUUAGACAUGGUAAAGUAAAGGUGCAUUUUAAUUUAAAUAAAAGUAGUGCAAGUGCGUAAAUUUAAAUAAAAGUAGUGAGAGUGCGGAAAGUAAAUAAAAGUAGUGCGAGUGCGUAAAAUAAAUGAAAGUAGUGCGAGUGCGGGAAAUAAAUGAAAGUAGUGCGAGUGCGGGAAAUAAAUAAAGUAAAGACAGUGCGGGAAAUAAAUAAAGUAAAGACAUUGCGGGGAAAUAAAUAAAGUAAAGACAGUGCGGGAAAAUAAAAUAGAUAGAGGCAAAGUAAUAAAAACCUGCUCCAAACGGAGGGUUGAAUAAAAUGCGAAGCGGAAAUGAAAAUGGCGGCAGGAUUAACUUCCUUCCAAAGUGCUCCAAACUCGAUUACAGACUCGAUCACAGACUUGAUUACACAAUUAUGGUAACACCCCAAUGCGAAGUGAUUACCACUUUUAAAAUACUGAAUAUAUGCCUAAGUGAAACUAAGUUUGCUCUAAGUUUGGAUCUGCUCUAAGUUUGGAUGAUUAAACAAAUGAAAACGAGUAUGUAUUUAUAGACAAGGAAAAUAAUGGAAAUGACAAGGAUGCCCUUCAGUUUGAAAUUGGGAGGGAAACGUUUUCUUCUUGUGGCGCCCUCCACAAGGGCAAGUUGUGGCGCCCAAGUGGAGAUAGUGGGGAACGUGGCAGUUGAGGGAAGUUGAGUUGUGACACGUCAUGGCUGGACAUAUGGCGCCAGCCACAGUGGGAGCCACAAGUGCAAAAUGCUGAAUUUUAGUCUUUUUAGCUCAUUUUCACUCCUUUUCUCAACCGGGGCUCUGAUUAGACUGAAAACCUGAAAAAAAAAGAGAAAUAUAGUAAUAACAUAACAAAAUAACAAUAAAACCACUAAAAUGCAUGCGAAAUCGGAGUCGAAAAUACGGUGAAAUUCAGUGUCAUCAGCUUCCAUCCAUUUAGUAAAGUAAUCUUUUACAACUAGGAUAAAGCAUUGACCGUUUGAAGUUUGUGGCUCAAUGAGUCCUAUCAUGUCUAUUCCCCACAUGAACAAAGGCCAUGGUGAUGUCAGAAUGUACAAAGGGGUUUGUGGCACAUGUAUCUUGGCAGCAUAAAUUUGGCAUAUAUGGCAUUUUUGACGUAAUUGAAAUAAUCAGAAUCCCUGGUCAACCACUAAUAGCCAACUCACAGGAUUUUCUUGGCCAUGGCAUGCCCAUUGACAUGUGUCGCAAAAGUUCCUUCAUGAAUUUCACUUAUGAUUAGGUAUGCCUCGUGUCUAUCCACACAUCUGAGCAAAACCAUAUUGUAGCUUCUUUUUUAGAGUACAUCAGCGUUGAGAAAAAACUUGGUAGCCAGUUUUCAUAAAGUUUUUCGACCCUUGUUGGAUGCCCAUGCUGGAUACUCUCGUGUCUGAAGGAAGUAUUUAAUGUCAUGGAACUAGGGUUUUCCAUCUGGUUCGAUAUGCAUUGAUGAGUAGAAUGCGGGCUUGUUAAAGUGAUUGAUUGUUAUGGACAAUCCUUUAUUAGCCUAAGGAACCUUGUACAUGGAUGAUAACGUAGCCAAGGCGUCAUCUAGUUGAUUCUCUUCUCUGGGAAUGUGAUGGAAGGUGAUUUACUCAAAAUGAGUCAUCAAUUGCAAACCAUGAGUACGAUACGUGAUCAAUUUGGGAUGACAAGUUUCCCAUUCUCCUUGUAUCUGAUUAAUGACGAGAGCAAAGUCUUCAUACACUUCCAACAUCUUGAUUCUUAGAUCAAUAGCGACCUUUAUACCCAUGAUGCAUGCUUCAUACUCAAUUAUAUUGUUAGUGCAUUUGAAGCAUAGCCUUGCCAUGAAAGGUAGGUAAAAAUCUUUGGAGAUGUCAAUACUUCCCCAAUUCCAUGGCCUAAGGCGUUUGAAGCGCCAUCCAACACAAGAGUCCAACGAGCCCCUAUUAUGGGCCUUUGCCGUCAUCUUUUAGAGCCAUAAUGUCUUCAUUAGGAAAAUUAAAUUGCAUAGAUUGAUAAUUUCCUAUUGGAUUAUGAGCAAGAUGGUAUGCUAGCACACUUCCUUUGAUAACCUUUUGAGUGACAUAGUGGAUGUCGUACUCAAAUAGUAACAUCUGCCAUCGGGCUAUUCUUCCAGUCACAUUUGGCUUCUCAAAAAUAUAUUUGGUGGAUCCAUUUUAGAUAUCAACAGGGUGGUAUGACACACCAUGUACUAUCUCAGGCGUCGAGAGGAUCAUGCUAGAACACAACAAGUUUUUUCCAAUAAGGAGUUUCUCAUCUCACAAUCAGUAAACUUCUUGCUCAGGUAAUAGAUGGCAUGCUCUUUUUUUUCCUGUUUCAUCAUGUUGGCCCAACACACACCUCAUAGAUUCAUCGAGCAAUGUUAAGUACAUUAUGAGUGGCCUUCCUGGAACCGGUGGUAUGAGGAUCGGUGGCUCUUGUAAUUAUUGUUUGAUUUUAUCAAAUUCCCCUUGGCAAUCGCCGUUGCACUCGAUCACUUGGUGUUUCCUUAACAACUUGAAUAUCGGUUUGUAGGUUGCCGUUAGAUGUGAGAUGAAUAUGGAAAUGUAGUUCAGUCUUCCCAAAAACCACUAACAUCUUUUUUUGUUCUAGGAGAUGGCAUGUUUUGAAUAACUCUAACUUUGUCGGGACCGACCUCAAUUCCCCACUAGCUGACAAUGAAUCCAAGUAGCUUACUAGAUCUGACCCCAAAGUUAUACUUUGCCAAGUUCAUUUGUAGUUUCUACUUCCUCAGUCGUGUAAACAACUUUGUUAAGUGAGUAAAGUUCUCAUCCUCGGUCUGGGAUUUAGAAAUCAUAUCGUCCAUGUAGACUUUGAUCUAUUUAUGAAUCAUGUCAUGAAAGAGAGUCACCAUGGCUCUUGAUAUGUUCCCCCUGCAUUCUUUAGACCGAAAUGCAUUACCUUAUAACAAAAUAUGCCUCACGGGGUGAUGAAAUUGGUUUUGUCCAAUUCUUCGGGAUAAAUCUUUAUUUGAUUAUAUAUAGAGAAACCAUCCAUAAGUGAGAAGACAGAGAAUUGUAUGGUAUUAUCAACCAACAUAUCAAUGUGAGAAAAAGGGAAGUCAUCUUUUGGGCUUGCCUAGUUUAAGUGUCUAUUGUAUGGUACUAUCAAGAGUUUGAAGUUUGUUUGCCUUGGAAGCCCUAAUUCAUCUGGGUAUCUUUUGUGACUUCUUCAACAAGUUUCUUCAACAAUUGAUCUAAAAUAUUUCAAGGGAUACUUUAUAUUACAUCCUCCUACACAUAUAUGAUCCUCCAUGAGUCCCAAAACUUAAGAGGAUGUCAAGCUAGCAAGUUGGUUCAUGGUGGUUGACUAGAGAAAGUCAAUUGGUCAAAACUAGGGUUUCCUAGACCCUAUCUCCUACAAUAUUUGUCAUAUGAAAAUUAUUCCAAGAUAAAAGUUACUCUAAAUGACACUACAAACAACUUUCAUGUUUAAGUAAAGAUAUAUUUUUUCUUGGAAAGUCAUUUUUUAUGGUGAAAUAUUAUAGGUCAUUUUGUCUAAACCCUAGUUUGGAGGUCAACUUCCCAAGACCAUAACUUACUCAAUUUUUAUGCGAUGAAAUCCAUUAAAAUUGCAUGAUCACAUUCAAUAUGUCUAGUUCAACUUUUAUCUUUGGAGGAAGUUCAAAUUCAACAUGAAAAUGCAUGUGCCAAGAGGAAACAUUAUAGGUCAUUUUGGACCAAUACCAUUGAACAAGUAAUUUUCCUCAACCUCUAAAAUGCAUAACUCCUUCAUGCCAAAACCAAAUGAGGUAAAAUUUGUGACCAAAUUGAAGAGGUUUGAAAGAGAUACAACUUUUAUGAAGAAAUGUUUCUCAUUUGAAGACCAUAGAAAACGUUAUUCAAGGUGGAAGAAGUGAACAUAUGGCUUGGUCCUUUGGAAAUUUUCAAAUAUGUUUGAUUUCCUAAACUUCCACCUCAAAAUUCAUCAUGAUCCAAGCUUCAAAUGAAAAAGUGUUUAACAUGUAAGUUGUUACCCUUGAUCACACCUUUCCAAAAAGUCUAAUAUCAUCUCAUUUGGCCAAAGUAUGAAGGACUUGCACAUGGGUGCAAGUUGAAGGACCAUUUGGAUGAUUUCCACUUCCACUUUUCAUACACGAUUGCAUGGCUUGACAACAUGAUUUCCGCAUGGUUUACAUGAAAUUUUGGACCUAAUUAUAUCACUUAAUGGGCCUAUCACAUGCCCACGCAAGCAUGCAAAAAGAAUUUUCAAAUUUUGCCCAAAAUGGAAGUGUGUGGAAAUCAAUCGCAUGGCCUAUAAAUAAGACCCUCAUUGCUCAGAAUUAAGGACCUCAUGCCCAAGCUUUGAAUCAGCAACCCCAAACCCUUACCAUUAAAGGAUAAACUUAAAGAUUUUCUUUGAAAAUCGAGUUUCAAAUCUCCAACUAUUUUGAGAUUGAAACUCCAAGAGUCCACCCCUUUCCUUGAUCCAUUUCACUUCUAACAAGCAUCUGAAGCAAGGCCAAGCAUAAUUGAAAGCAAGAUCGAGCCAAUCUGAAGCUCCAUUGAAGGUGAAUUUUCAGAAUUCUCAUCUCUUUGAUUCUCCCUCAAUUCUUCACCAUUCUUGUUGAUUUUUAGUUGUCUGAAGUUCUAUCAAUGUAGGCAAGAAGAUUAAGUUGCUUUAAGAUCAAAUCGAAGCAACUCAGUUCAUGAUCCUCAAAAUUCAAAUCCCUGUAUCUUUUUAUAUACUUGGAAUUGGAGAAAAUUGAGGUCAGAUUCGUGCUCCUGAGCAUUUUCCCUUCAAAUUAGUGUAUCCAUAUUUCAUUUUCCUUUGAGUUGAGCUUGAACCAGACCGGUGGUACUCACCGGAGAAGAUGACCCCGGUGGUGUGCUGGCUUGUCCAGAACCAUCUGAUCUGAGUCUCAGGAUCUAAUCUCACACGUCCAAAUUGAUUACCACGUGUAUCGCACAGUUGACUGAGGCAUUGGAGGAAAACGCGCACGUGGCCAUCAGAUCUGCCACCUCAAUUAAAGAGGGAGAUCUGAUGGUCCUUAUUUUUCUUUUGAUUUAUAUAUCAUUUUCUAAUUUUUCAUUUAAUCCUUUUAUUUUGAUUAAUUCAUAUUAAUUUCAUUUUUAAUCCAAAAAAUGGGACUUUCACCAAAAAAAUUCAAAUAUUUUCCUCUUUCAUUUUCUGAAUUAAAAAUAUUUUUUGGAUUAAUAUUGAUAUUUUUCAUGAUUUAAUUACUUUUGUGCAUAUUUUUAAUUGUUUAAAAUUACUUCUGACUUUUCAAAAAAUAUGAAAAAUUUUGUUCAAGGUCCUUUGACCUUCAUUAACCUAGGAUAAAUCUCUUGGCCAUUUAUUUGGUGUUUUCAAGAGGUUUUAGGUUUUGACCAAUUUUAAUUUAAAUUUAAUUCAUUUUAAUUUUAUUUUUAAUUGAUUAAUUGUAUAUAAAUUCUGUUGAGCCAAUUUUGUUGACUUGUGAUGUUUGACUAUGUGUUUGGGCCUUGGCCAAGGUGAUUUGACUUUUGUUAAGUUAAAAUAAUUGGAUUUAGGGGAUUGAUGAAAUAUACAUUUCAUCUCCCAAAAUGAAUGGAUGAUUUUAAUUUGAUAAAAUUCCUCCCAUGACCAAUUUGUGUUUGUCUCAUCUCCCCUCCCUUUUCGUCUUUAAUCCCAUUCUUUCUCAUCCCUUCCAUUGACCAAUGACGUCUCAAUAUCAUAAGGCUAAUUGGUUCAUCAAUAACUUUAUGUUAGAUGAUCCAAUACAAGUAUGGAUGAGAUUAGAUCCAUCCUUUGAUCAUUUUUCUUUUUGAGUGUGGUAUGUUUCAGGAGUAUGGUUCAUAAUACCAUAUCUCUAACAUGCAUUAGAACCUAAAUUUCUAUUGCCCGACCUCAGAUAGUUGAGACUUCUACAUAAGUCCAAUUACGAUUGCUUAACAUAGAGUUAAAUUUUGACCCUAAAGGCAUAUCAUUCUAGUAAGUGAGAUUGUAAGUCUCCCAUUUUCAUGGUAUUGUAUGGAAACUUGACCUUUUUCCUUCCUUUGGAAGAUGUCUUGGUUCAAGGAUCCAUGCUUAUGAAUAUAGGGUUGAGUGUUCUACAAAGAAUGACUUAAUCAAUUGAAAAGCAAAACACCACUAACAUCUAAUCAACUAACAUUGGAUUAACUUUUAUUUUUAUUGCUUUUAAUUUCAAGUCGUUUACCUUAUGUCAUUUAAAUUCAAGUCAUUUACCAUUUCAUUUUCCAUUUACAUAUCAUUUAACUUGUUUAUGUUUAUGCCAUUUCCACUUUGCUCAUUUGAGCCAUAUAUUAUAAUUGUAUAUAUUUGUUUGUGUACCUUGUUUGUGUUUGUGGUCUUAGGACCUUAAAAUACUUAAUAAACAACAAAAACCCUAAAAAAUGUUUGUGUGGACUGUUGGAUUUGAUUUGAGCUUUUGGACUUAGAAUUAGGCAACAUCCCCUAUGCAAAAGGACAUGGCCAAUGUCAACAUUUCUGAGAUCAAGUUAUCAUGAUCUAAGAUUUCGUCUGAUGCAAGUAUUUGGAUUCACUUGAGUUCAUUUGUUACAUGGUUUUGAUGCAAUUGUUACUUUGAGCCUGUGUCUAAUGCUUUAUUCUGAGCCAAUCAAGGAGUAUGUCAUCUGAUAUAUGGGAAGAUCAAGAAGAAGUUUGUGAAGUUGCUUACUUCGAUGUGGCCAUCUUUAUUUGAUGCUUUUCUCUUGAUAUUGCUAUUUGAUUGCUGAUUAUUGCUUGAUUCAAGGUCCAAAGGGAAAAUGGGUUUUCUAUAUGACAUUCUUGUCUGUUGGAUUGCAUCCCAUUGGUCAGAACUUUUCAACUAUUAACUUUUAAUUUUAUGCUUAAGAUUAGUCUCUUCAUCUCCUCCCACUUCUUAAAUUUCAAAUCUCUCCCCCUUUUUAAAAACCUUCUUUGCUUGCUAUGUCAAACUUAUACUUUAUUGCAAAAAUUAGAAACUUUGGCCUUAUGCCAAUGGACUUUUAAACUCUUUUCUUAAAUCAAACCUGUAAAUGAAUCUAAUCAUAUUGACUUAAAAUUUCAAAAGACAAAAAGAACUAACACUCAUUCAAACUCUUUUGGGCCUUUUAUGCCUCUUUUAAAUUUAACUUUUGAUUAAAAACAAUCCACUCAUUUUGAAAUUGUUACCACGAACUACGAGGUUUUGAUCGCUCAUUUUUAUGUUGGUACGUAGGCACGAGUCCGAAGAUCUUGUCAAACACAAAAAUAUAAUCAACCCCCUUACCUGAAUCUCUGGCAUUUUCUCAUCUCCACACUCUAUUUUUUUUUCAAACAUCAUUUUAUACGAAAACACAUACAUACAUAAAAAAAGGGCUCCCUAGGAGUACCUAGGACACUUUGGGUGCUAACACCUUCCGUCUGUAUAACCAACCCCCUUACCUGUAAUCUCUGGCAUUUUAUUAGUUUUGAUUUGAAAAUUCUUAUCUUUGGGUUUUGUUCGUACUUUUCCCUUUUCCUUUGGAAACAAUAAAAGCGCGGUGGAGAAUCUUGUCUUAUUGACAUUAAGUUUAUCAUAACUUAAUGGUCAUGAAUUUAUCGCUACAGAAAUCAAGUGGCGACUCUGUUGGGGAGUAGUCCUCAGUGGGUUUAGCCUACUUUUUUAUGUGUGUAUAUAUUUGCAUAUUUGAUGUUUGUAUAUUUGUUUGUGUGAUACAAUCUACUUGUUGUGCUUGGUGAUCUCUGAGUGGUGAGAUAAUUUCUAACCCGAACUUAAGUGCAAUUAAGAUAGGAGGAUGGUAUAGUCAUGUUCGGCUUGCGUGGAGUAGUCCUUAACAAGUUAGCUUGAGAUCCAUCUACUCAGUGGAGACCCUUUUAGAGUUACUGAUGUCACACAAGUUAUUUGUGGAUAGACAUUACUUUCUCUGAUUUGGGGCCCGAGAAGCUGAGGACCGUAGAACAUUUUACCUAACUUGGCCUAUUUAGGACGUAGUGCGGAGAUUGUUCAGGUGUAGACUUGAUAACAGUUAUUACGUGAUACUACACUCAGAUGAGUUUCUCUUGAGAAUAUUAUGGGUUGAUGAGUUAAUCAUCCUAACCUGUAAUAUCUGAUAGAUGGAAUUAAGACUCUGGGAACUUUUUAGAACAUGAUUUACAAGUUUUUAUCCUUAGUACACUCCUUUGGGACGGUUCUUAACCUGACUCCAUGCUUGUGACUCACAAAAAACCUUUGAUUCUUAGUUGAUCCAAUCAAGUCUUGUCAAUAUCAAUGGAACUUGGAUGUUGAUAAGGUGAAAACCAUAAUCCACCAAAAUGGAUGAUUGAUCUUGACAAUGACUUUAUUCAUCCAUUGACCUUUGUUUGUUUGCCUUGUGUAUGAUCCCUUAUCUGUGAUUGUUGCAUUCAUGCAUUCACGCACAUCAUGACAUUCAUCACACGAAAGUGACUUCAAGGAACUGAGGUUUUAUUUGCAAAUAUUUUCAGACCAUGGAUUAUGGAUGACGGAACACUAAGAAGUACAGUUUUAGAUGUCCGGAUUUGAAAGAACUAAGGUAGUUAUCAUCCUUUGUAUUAGAUCCUUUGGACUUCAAGAAAAGCCAUGGGAAGCUUUUGUCUGUGUUAUUUGCUGAUGUAGUUGAAGGAAUCUUGAGUGUUUAUGUUCAGUUUUAUGACCCUCUCUACCGUUGCUUCACUUUUUCCGAUUAUCAGCUUAUGCCUACGUUAGAGGAGUAUACCCAUCUCUUGGGGAUAUCUGAGAUUAAGGCUCAGUGGGUGAAGAAAGGAGGAAUGUUUGGGUUGACUUCUGAGUUUCUCAUAGGGAAAGCUACUAUUUUUGCUCAAGCCGGUAGUGUGGAUGCUUUUGAAUCUAUCUUUGUGUUGCUCAUCUAUGGCUUGGAUUUGUUCCCUAACAUUGACGGUUUUGUUGAUGUUAACGCCAUUAGAAUCUUCUUGAUUGGAAAUCCCAUGCCUACUCUGUUGGGUGAUGUGUACUUUCUCUUUGCGUUUGAGGAAUUCUAAAGGUGGUGGUACUAUUGUGUGUCGUGUUCCUCUUCUGUACAAGUGGUUUAUUUCGUACUUGCCUCAGAUGUCUGCUUUCUUGGAGAACAAACAAUGUCUAAGGUGGUCUCAAAGACUUAUGUCUCUCACUAAUGAUGAUAUUGUUUGGUAUGAUUCUGCAUUGAGUAUUAUGGAUAUUAUUAAUAAUUGUGGUGAAUUCUCUAAUGUGCCUCUCAUUGGUACACAAGGAGGAAUCAACUACAACCCUGCUUUGACUCGUCGUCAACUUGGGUUCCCCUUGAGAGAUAAACCUAAUAACACCCAGUUAGAAGGUCUUUUCUAUCAAGAGGGUAAAAAUCCCCAACAUUUGAAGUAACAGAUGAUUUAUGCUUGGCAUAAUGUGCAUAGUAAAGGAAGAUUCGAGUUUGGUCUGUGCAACUAUGUAGCUUUGGAAGCUUACACUCUUUGGGUGAAGAAAAGAGCUUUGGAAUUAAAGAUGUCAUAUGCUUGUGAGAGACCUAUGUCUAUGGUUGCGGUUGAGCCAUUAACUCUCCCUAACCAAGAUGUAGAGGAGUUGGAAGACGUACUCACCAAGAUGAAUCAAGAGAAGGAUAUGUGGGAAGAUCGGUUCCAUGCUUUGAGCCGAAAGCAUGAGGAGUUGCAGCUUGAGUCAAAAGACAAGGAUGCACUUGUUGAACUUCUUGAAGACCGAGCAAUGAAGAUACAAAGAGAUCCAGAGGGUCCAUCUUCCUCUAGUAUGCCUCAGCCUUCCAGUGCUUGGAAGAAGAUUGUUGAUCAGCUUGUCCUUGAGAAGGCUCAGAUGAAGACAUCUUUUGAGUCCGAGUUCGAGGCAUCCGAAGGAAGUACGUGCCAGCAGCCAGAUCAUCUGACACUGUUGUUAACGGAUCCUUAGGAUGAUUAGUUUCCUUUUUUCUUGCAUUUGUAUUAUGGUUUCUGAAAUUGUACUCAGUGUAAUCCUCCCAAAUUUUAUGAAUAAAGGAAAUUUUUAUGGUCAAUCAAAUUAUUAUUAUUAUAUAUUUGCAAAUAAAAUAGUAUGUUCCUUGAAACAUAAAAACAAUAAAAAAACAUUGCAUUUCAUGCAUCAUGUGCAUAAACAGGUUUUCUUCUGCCAGAUGUCUUAUCGGUUAUUCUUCAGUGCUUCAGCCAAGUUGACUCACCGAUACAACGCUCACGCCAAUCAACCAAGAAUCAUGGAGCACUUAGAGCAAGAGAACCGAGAACUGAAGGAUGAGAUUCCCGUCUGACUACUAUGAUGGAGUUUGCUCUAGAUGCUCAGAACCAGUCUUCUCCAACUCAUGUAACUCCUCCUCCUCAAAGGACUGUUAUCUCAGAGGUUGUUGUCUCAAUUGUGCUUGUCGUUGCUACUCAACCUGGUCCAUCUAUGCCAGCUGGAUUCCCCUGGGGAAUGCCACCAAAUUUUAUGCCUGAAGGGUUUGCACCCACAUUUUCUUCUAUGCCGACAUCUAGCCCGGUCAUGUCUGUGCCGCCUCCGGUUGUUCAUAGUCUGCCUCGUGUUGAGGACACCAUCUACAAUUUUGAGUCGUCUGAGGCCCCUGAUGUUUAUGAGAAGAUGGAUGAGAUGAAGGAUCAGUUCCUUGAGUUGCGAAAGGAAUUGAAGACAUUAAGAGGAAAAGAUAUGUUCGGUAAGAGUGCUGCUGAACUCUGCUUGGUACCAAACGUUAAGAUCCUGAUGAAGUUCAAAGUUCCUGACUUUGAAAAGUAUAAAGGAAAUACCUCUCCACUUAGCCACCUUAUCAUGUAUGCCAGGAAAAGUUCAAUGUAAAUUGAUAAUGAUCAGUUAUUAAUUCACUACUUCUAAGAUAGUCUGACUGGUGCCGCUUUGAGAUGGUACAUGGGGCUAGACAGUGCAAGUAUUUGCACGUUCAACAAUUUGGGUGAAGCUUUUAUGAAGCAAUAUAAGUGCAAUGUGGAUAUGGCGCCUGAUAAAGACCAGUUGAGGUCUAUGUCUCAGAAGGACAAAGAGACAUUCAAAGAGUAUGCCCAGAGGUGGAGAGAGCUUGCCGCUUAGAUUAAUCCUCCGUUAGAAGAAAAGGAGAUGACCAAGAUUUUCCUGAAGACCCUGAGUUCGUUUUAUUACGAAUGCAUGAUUGCCAGUGCCCCCAGUGACUUUAUCGAAAUGGUAAACAUGGGGAUGAGGUUAGAAGAAGGAGUCCGAGACGGACGUUUGUCUAAGGAAGAGGUGUCAUCUAGUAGAAAGUACGUAAGUGGUUUUGCCAGAAAGAAGGAAGGAGAACCUAAUGCAGUGUCCGUAGGGAGGCAGAUGAGGCCUCAUGUAAGAAGGAAUUUCCAACAACGCCAGUAUCAACAUCAAGUUUCAUCAGUAAUACCAGUAUUUUAAAACAAUUCCAACAAUCAAUCAGUACCAAUUCAACAACAACGCCAACAACAGCCGCAACAAAGAACCAACAACUACAACAACAACAAUAAUCCACAACAACAAAACUUCGAGAGAAAGAAGGUCUCUUUUGACCCCAUUCCUAUGUCAUAUUCUGAACUUUACCCGUCUUUGGUUCUCAAGAACUUACUCCAGCCAAGGAACCCACCUCAAAUUCCAGAGCCACUUCUGUGGUGGUAUAAGCCUGAACUCCAUUGUGCCUUUCAUCAAGGAGCUCCCGGCCAUGAUAUUGAGAACUGUUACCCAUUGAAGUAUGAGGUACAUAAGCUUGUGAAGAGUGGGAUGAUGUCCUUUGAGGACCGUGCGCCGAAUGUGAAAGCCAAUUUGUUGCCCAUUCAUGGUAAUUCCUUGCUCAAUAUGGUGGAUGGUUGUCUAGGAAAUUUCCGGGUCUUCGAUGUACGACGUGUCCGUAGGUCCUUGGUGGAGAUGCAUAAGACCUUGUGUACCAUCAGUGAUUAUGAGCACGACCAUGACGGUUGUGCAAUUUGCAGUGUAAACCCCCGUGGGUGUUUGAUAGCCAAGAGAGAUAUCUAAAAGUUGAUGGAUGAGAAUGUAAUCCAAAUUCAAUAGUCUAGGGAUAUAGAUAAUGUCAAGUGAUUAUUCUAGUGUUUGAAACCCCGGAGCGGGUGGUGAUUCAGUUUGAUAGCAGCAACAAUAACAACGCUAAUAGAUCGGUAUCGCCAUUAGUGAUACUGUUAGCGGGUCCCAUCCCGUAUGCAUCUGAUAUAGUUGUUCCUUACCAGUAUACUGCUACAAUGGGGGAGAAUGGUCAACAGGUUCUGUUGCCUACGAACAAUUCUGUUGUGAAUAUUGCAGAUAUUGCGAAAGUGACCCAUAGCGAUCAUGUUUUUGGUCUCGUUUUCCCAAAGGAUGUAGAAGAUGUUUCAGUUGGUAAGAAGGUUGAUGUACCUGCAGUAGUCCCAGUUAGUGCUCCAAUGUGUCAGUCUGGUGAAUCCAGCAAAUUGAAGCCUAAUGAUGAUGAUGAGGUACUGAGAUUAAUUAAGAAGAGCGAGUUUAAUGUGGUGGAGCAGUUGCUCCAAACUCCUUCUAAGAUUUCAGUGUUGUCUCUGCUGAUGAAUUCUGAAGCACACAGAGAAGCAUUGCAAAGAGUGUUGGAGCAAGCCUAUGUCGAGCAUGAUGUAACUGUGGAUCAGUUUGACCACAUUGUGGCUAACAUUACUUCCUGCAACAACUUGAGUUUUUGUGAUGAAGAACUUCCUAAGGAAGGCAUAAAUCACAAUCUGGCACUACAUAUAUCAAUGAACUGCAAGGAAGAUGCAUUGUCAAAUGUGUUGGUUAAUACCGGUUCUUCUUUGAAUGUACUCCCUAAAAUAACUCUAUCAAAGUUAUCCUAUCAAGGCGCCCCGAUGAGGUAUAGUGGCGUGAUUGUCAAAACUUUUGAUGGUUCUCGCAAGACCGUCAUUGGUGAAGUGGACCUUCCAAUGAAGAUAUGUCCGAGUGAUUUUAAAAUUACUUUUCAAGUAAUGGAUAUCCACACGGCCUAUAGCUAUUUAUUGAGAAGGCCAUGGAUCCAUGAAGUUGGGGCUGUAACAUCCAUUUUGCACCAGAAGUUGAAAUUUGUGAAGAAUGGCAAGCUUGUCAUUAUGGGUGGAGAUAAAGCGUUGUUGAUAAGCCAUUUUCCGUCCUUUUCAUAUGUGGAAGCUGAGGAAGAGGUAGGAACUCUGUUCCAUGCCUUAUCUAUUGCUGAAGAAAAGAAAUCUGGGGCACCCAUGUCUUCUUUUAGGAUGCUCAGAGAGCUAUUGAGGCAGGAAGCACAUAUCAAUGGGGUCGUAUGGUAGAGGUCGCCGAGAACAAGAACCGAGCCAGGUUGGGAUUCCAGCAAGGGCCGUAUAAUGUUAAAGCUGAAGAAGUGCAACCGAGUUUCCGUAGCGGAGGGUUCAUACAUGGUAAUGAACAACACUCAGUUGUUGUGAUCGAAGGCGAUGAAGAUGAAGACUACGCCAACUUUGUGACGCAUGGCAAGACUUGCAACAAUUGGGUUGAUGUUGAUGUUCCUAUUAUUUUCCAUCGCUCUAAGUAAUUUGUUUUUUCAUUAUUUUAAGAAAAAUCCUUCUCCUAUGCCUAAGGGAGAAGUGAACAUUGUUGGGCAUUUCUCAAUUAUCAUCAAAAAACUACAAUUCUAUUCAUCCACAUCUAUGAUGUUUUGUUUUUACUUUUUGCUUUUCUGAAAAUGGUAACCACAAAAAAAACAUAAAUAAAUAAUAGUUGUCUGUCUGCAUAAUAUUUGGUCACAAUUCAAUUCUCUAUAGUCAAAAUAUCAAAUCAUUAUGCAGGUUGGUUUCCAAACCCAUUGAAUACAAUGAUCCUACUCCCUCUCCAAACUUUGAUUUCCCUAUGUUUGAGGCUGAGGAAGAGACUGAUGAAGAAGUGUCUGAUGAAUUGUCUCGCCUACUUAAGCACGAGGAAAAAGCCAUUCAGUCGUUCGAAGAGCAAAUUGAGUUAGUCAACUUGGGUUCCGAAGAUGAUGUGAAGGAAGUCAAGAUUGGGUCCCAAUUGUGUCCAGCGGUUAAGAAGGGGUUGAUUGAUCUUCCCUGAGAGUAUUCAGAUGUGUUUUCCUAGUCCUAUCAAGACAUGCUUGGUUUGGAUUCUGAGAUCGUGGAGCAUAGAUUUCCGUUCAAGCCAGAAUUCCCGCCAGUCAAGCAGAAGUUGAGGAUGAUUCAUCAUGAUAUGGAAGUAAAUCAAAGAAGAAGUGCAGAAGCAGAUUGAUGCCGAUUUCCUUAUUAUCGCUGAGUAUCCGCAGUGGGUGGCUAAUAUCGUGCCUGUUCUGAAGAAGGAUGGAAAAGUCUGCAUGUGUGUCAAUUAUAGAGAUUUGAACAAAGAUAGUCCGAAAGAUGAUUUUCCUCUGCCACACAUUGAAUGUUGGUAGACAAUACAACUAAAUUCUACGUCUUUUCAGUUAUGGACGGAUUUUCCUGUUAUAAUCAGAUCAAAAUGGCACCCGAGGAUAUGAAGAAGACCACAUUCAUUACACCUUGGGGAACAUUCUAUUAUAGAGUGAUGCCUUUCGGUCUAAAGAAUGCUGGUGCAACUUACCAGAGAGAUAUGACCACUCUUUUUCAUGAUAUAAUGCAUAAAGAGAUUGAAGUCUAUGUUGAUGAUAUGAUUGCUAAAUUAGGCGAUGAAGAAGAACAUGUUGAACAUUUGUUGAAGUUAUUCCAGCAUUUGAGGAAGUAAAAACUUCACUUGAAUCCCAAAGUGUACUUUUGGUGUUCGUUCUGGUAAGUUUUUAGGCUUUACUGUCAGCGAGAAGGGUAUUGAAGUUGAUCCUACCAAGGUCAAAGAAAUACAAGAGAUGCCUGCGCCCAAAACAGAUAAGCAAGUCAGAGGUUUUCUCGGCCGCUUGAAUUAUAUCUCAAGAUUUAUAUCGAACAUGACCACCACUUGUGCACCUAUAUUCAAGCUUCUCCGGAAAGAUCAGUCUUGUGAUUGGAUCAAAGAUUGCCAGAAAGCUUUUGACAGUAUCAAAGAGUAUCUGCUUGAGCCUAUGAUUCUAUCUCCGCCUAUUGAAGGAAGACCAUUGAUCAUGUAUUUGACUGUGCUUGAAGAAAGUAUGGGUUGUGUUCUUGGUCAGCAAGAUGAAACUGGAAAGAAAGAAUAUGCAAUUUACUACCUCAGUAAGAAAUUCACCGACUGCGAGACUCAGUAUUCUAUGCUUGAAAAGACUUGUUAUGCAUUGGCUUGGGCUGCUAAGCGUCUGCGCCAAUAUAUGUUGAAUCAUACUACUUGGUUAAUAUCCAGAAUGGAUCCAAUCAAGUAUAUUUUUGAGAAGCCUGCUUUAACUGGGAAUAUUUCUCAUUGGCAGAUGUUGUUAUCCGAGUAUGAUAUUGAAUACCGAUCUCAGAAAGCAAUCAAAGGUAGUGUCUUGGCUGACCACUUAGCUCACCAACCGAUUGAAGAUUACCAGUCAGUACAAUAUGAUUUUCCUAAUGAAGAGAUCUUGUACUUAAAGAUGAAAGAUUGUGAUAAACCAUUGCUUGAAGAAGGGCCAGAACCUGGUUCCCGUUGGGGCAUGGUAUUUGAUGGAACUGUUAAUCAGUAUGGUAAUGGCAUUGGGGCAGUGAUUAUUACUCCUCAAGGCACUCAUUUUCCAUUUACGACUAGAUUGACUUUCAAGUGUACGAACAAUAUGGAUGAGUAUGAAGCUUGCAUUAUGGGGCUUGAAGAGGCCAUCGAUCUUAGAAUCAAGUAUGUUGACGUCUAUGGAGAUUCAACUUUGGUUGUGAGUCAGAUCAAAGGUGAAUGGGAUAUGAAUCAACCCGGUUUGAUACCAUACAGAGAUUAUGCAAGGAGGAUUUCAACUUUCUUUACAAAGGUUAAGUUCCAUCAUAUCCCUCGAGAUGAAAACCGGAUGGCAGACGCUUUUACAAGUUUGUGAAGAAAUGCCACAAGUGUCAAAUCUAUGUGGAUAAGAUUCACGUUCCUCUAACACUGUUGAAUGUCAUUUCCUCUCCAUGGCCCUUCUCCAUGUGGGGAAUUGAUAUGAUUGGUAUGAUUGAGCCCAAAGCUUCGAACAUACAUCAUUUUAUUCUGGUGGUUGUUGAUUACUUCACAAAGUGGGUUGAAGCGGCAUCGUACGUAAAUGUAACCAAGCAAGUUAUUGUAAGGUUUAUCUAAAAUCAGAUUAUAUGCCGGUAUGGUGUCCCAAGUAAGAUCAUUACUGAUGAAUGAUAAGGACUUCAAGAUUUCACACCAUAAUUCUUCUCCCUACAGACCCAAGAUGAAUAUGGAUGUUGAAGCUGCAAAUAAGAACAUUAAGAAGACCAUUCAGAAAAUGGUGGUAACAUACAAGGAUUGACAUGAGAUGCUCCCAUUUGCUUUGCAUGGGUACCGUACAUCGAUUCGCACUUCAACAGGGUUAACUCCUUUCUUACUUGUUUAUGGCAUGGAGGUUGUGCUCCCAGUAGAGGUUGAGAUCCCAUCAUUGUGUGUCUUGAUGGAAGCCAAGUUGAUAGAGGCUUAAUGGUGUCAGACCAGGUAUGAUCAGCUAAAUUUGAUUGAAGAGAAGAGGUUGACUGCCAUGCGUCAUGGUCAGUUGUACCAACAGAGAAUGAAGAAGGCAUUUGAUAAGAAGGUCAGGCCUCGUGUAUUCAAAGAAGGUGACCUUGUGCUCAAGAAGAUUUUAUCUUUUAAAUCAGAUGCUAGGGGCAAAUGGACUCCUAAUUAUGAAGGCCCAUAUGUUGUUAAGAUAGCCUUUUUAGGCGGUGCUUUGAUUCUUACAACUAUGGAUGGUGAAGAGUUCAGACGUCCUAUGAAUGCUGAUGCAGUCAAGAAAUACUUUGCCUAAAAAUAAAAGAACAACUCGCUAAGUUGAAAACCCGAAAGAGCGGCUUAGGAAAAAAUGAGUGUCUCGGUGGAUUGAAAACCCGAAAGGGCAAUCCAGGCAAAAGUUAGAGACAUAAAAUAGAAAUUCAUCCCAAUAGGUUGAGCACCGCACCUUGGGGCAAUCUAGGCAAACAUUAGGGAUUAUGGCAAGUAAUUGCAUUCGGUUGAUUUUUAGUCUUGAAGACAUUCUUGAGCAAGUCAGUCAACUUUGAUUCAUCAUUUUCAACCAAAGCCAAGAGCGUAGUGGAUAUCAAAGCUGGUAGAAGGAUUAGUGAUCACUGUAUUCAAUGUAGCCCUUUUCCAUGUAAAUUACCAUUUUUCAACUUUUGUAAAGAUCUAUGGAGUCUUGUUAUUUAUAGGCUACCAUUCUAUUAAAUAAAGUUGAGAUUUUUAUCCAAUUGCUUCUACUCUAUUUUAUCUUUCCGCUAAAAUAGAAUUAUAUUUUUAUGAUGAUAAUUUUGAAAUAUUUAAAUCAAUAAAAUUAAAAAUCAUUUUUCUUAAAGUAAUAAAAGCAAUUACCUUCAAAAGCAAUCGACUUCAUUUAAGAAAUGUCAAUAGUAGUCUGAGAACAGGUAAGUAUUAAAAAUGCGAAGCAUUGUUGGUCUUCCCCAAGCAGUUAGUUCAGUAAGUCAGUUUCUCAGCUGAGUUUGCGAUCACAUCCCCAGCUGCACUAGAGGAACAUAUUUUCAACGAUUUGUGUAAGUCCGUAAUGGGUUUUAUUCCUCCCAGGCCACCAAUGGAGUUAUCCCUGGUCCCCGAGCAAUAUUUUUGAUCCUCUGCGAGGUUGUCUCCCAUUUGAUAUGGUGUUGACCUAAAAUUCGCCGCAGGGUCGAUGAUUCAAAUCCUCAGCAGAUCCUCUUGCUUUUCCCAGCUAGGGUCAAGCCUUUGAGAUGGAUGGUUUAUGCCCAUCCCCAACUCUUUUUUUCUCCAGCAGAUGCUUCCAUCCUAUCGAGAUUAGCCAAGUGUUGUAUCGAUGAUUUGUACCAAUAAUAAUUAUACCCUUUGUGAUUAUUAUUGUCAACAUAAUCACCAAUCAUAUACAUAUACAUCUACAUACACAUUAAGAGAUUUCAUUAUUGCAUUAUUAUUGCACUUUGUGAUUCAUUAUUUUUCUCUGACCCUCUACUAUGGUGAUAUCAUUUCCCCCACGUAGAUUGGGUGUAUCUGUCCUCCUUCAAUUGUAGAGUGUCAGCCCCUUAAGCAGAAUUUUUUAAAACCUUUAUCAUUCCCCACUGAGUUGUUUUCUCGUGGAUGAUUAUUAUUUUAGCUUCCUCCCCAGUAGAUUAUCUGGAUGGAACCACUCCCCUUGAGUUAUAUCCUCAUCAGGUUGAGUCUUUGAUUGGCCGUUUCUUUCUAGCUCUUACCUAGAUCGAUGCUUUUGGUCCCCUGAGAGUCUAUUACAUAGUAAAUGGUAAUAUUCUUCUCAAUUUGCGAGUACUUUACUCUUACCCAAUACCCGAUAACAGUGAUCUACUUCCUCUUAUUUUCCCCAGCGGAUUCGUUUUACGUUUCCCCAGGUAGUCUAUCCUUGAUAUGUCCAUCUUAACCGAUGAUGAAUGUUCUUCCUUUUUGAGUUUAUCCUUGAUAUGUUCAUCCUAACCGAUGACAAAUAUUCUCUUUUUGGUUUUCUACCCAGUAAAAAGGUAGUUGUAAUCCCUAUUUCAUUCCCCAGAGAUUUAAUCCUUCAUAUGUUCAUCUUAACUGAUGACAUGUUUCCUCCUCUUUGUGGUCUUCUGCCUAGUAACCGGUAGUUAUAAAUCCUACUUUCCCUUGGAGUUUAUCCUUGAUAUGUUCAUCUUAACCGAUGAUGGAUAUUCUCUUUUCGGUAUUCUAUCCAGGAACUGAUAGAUGUAAUUCCUACUUUUUCCCAGCAGUCUAUCUUUGAUAUGUUUAUCUUAGCCGAUGAAGGAUAUUCUUCCCUUUGAGUCUAUCCUUGAUAUGUUCACUUUAACUAGUGACGAAUAUUCUCUUCCUUUGGUCUUAUGCCCAGUAACCGGUAAUUGUAAAUCCCAUUUGACUUUUCCCUUGUACAUUAUUCUUACCCAUUGACUGGUAAUGAAUACACUUCCUGUUGCCCUCAGCGAGUCAUCCUUGAUAUGUUUACCCUAACCUGUAACAGAUUCCCUCUCUGUCAGACUAUGUUAUCUCCUUACCUAGUAACUGGUAAUGGAUAAUAUACUUAUGAUACUCAUAUGUUGAAGUUUAUGCUUCCCCAGUUGAAUUUGAGUGUGUAUUUCCUCAGUGAAGUCGAUAUCCCCUGUUUGGAUUGAGUAUUUCAGUUCUAUCUUGAUUUACUCGUUUCCCUUGCAAAUUUUUCCUUUAUCCCAGACUGAGUCCUUCCAUUGAUUUAUUUUCAUGGAAUCCCUCGUGUCCCCCCAACAGUUGUAAGUCGUAGCUUGGCCUACGCAUAACCUUUUAUCCCCUAGAGUCUCUGUCUCCCUAGUGAGUUCUCCUUAGGGAAUGCAUUAUGCUCCUGCAGACUUUCGGUCUCUCCGGAUUCUUUUCCUUUAUGGCAACAUUUUCCCCAUAAAGAUUAUUUUAACAUUUUCAUAUCAUAUGCAUCAUGAGGUCUCUUAGGGAUCAAAAAUUGUUUCUAUUAUUUUUAUUUAAGUCCAUUCUAUUGAGUCGAUACGAAGAUUUUAACCUUCAUCUCCUCAGCUAGAACGUCUUUAAAUAGGGGCAACUGUAAGACCCUAAUUUUGACCCUAAGAUCCCUCAUGCUAUCUCAUCAUAUGAAUUGUCAUUGGGAUCACACCUUGGCAUCCUCAUUACCCCUCAUUCAUUGGGUUUGCAUUGGGAGAGAUCACCAAGCGCUUUUGAUUGUAUCAUACUUUUUUUUCUUUAUUUACUAACCAAAAUACCAAAAAUAUGUCAAUGUAUAGUUUAACUCUUUUGUAGGUAGUGUGUAUGCUCACCUAUGCUCUAUCAAGCUCAUAUCUAGGGUUUAAGACCCUCAAUGCAAGGAGCACAAUCAAGCAAUGGUUCACAUUGGCUCUAAGCAUCAUAUAUGGUUCCCCAUGGACUCUUGGAGUUUGUUUGCCUUGGAAACCCUAAUUCAUCUAUGUAUCUUUUGUGACUUCUUUAACAAGUUUCUUCAACAAUUGAUCAAAUAUUUCAAGGGACACUUUAUAUUAAAUCAUACUACACAUAUAUGAUCCUCCAUGAGUCCCAAAAGUCAAGAGGAUGUCAAGCUAGCAAGUUGGUUCAUGGUGGUUGACCAAAGAAAGUCAACUGGUCAAAACCGGGGUUCCCUAGACCCUAUCUCCUACAAUUUUUGUCAUAUGAAAAUGAUUCCAAGAUAAACUUUACUCUAAAUGACAUUCCAAACAACUUUCAUGUUGAAGUCAAGAGCUAGUUUUUCUUGGAAAGUCAUUUUUUAUGGUGAAAGAUUAUAGGUCAUUUUGUCUAAACCCUAGUUUCGAGGUCAAAUUCCGAAGACCAUAACUUGAUAAAUUGUUAUGAUAUGAAAGCCAUUAAAAUUACAUGAUUAAUUUCAAUAUGUCUACUUCAACUUUUAUGUUUGGAGUAAGUUCAAAUUCAACUUGAAAAUGCAUGUUCCAAGAGGAAACAUUAUAGGUCUUUUUGGACCAAUACCAUUGAACAAUUGAUUUUCCUCAACUUCUAAAAUGCAUAACUCCUUCAUGUCAAAACCAAAUGAGGUCAAAUUUGUGACCAAAUUGAAGAGGUUUGAAAGAUAUACAACUUUUAUGAAGAAACGUUUCUCAUUUGAAAACCAUAGAAAAAUUUAUUCAAAGUGGAAGAAGUGAGCAUAUAGCUUGGUACUUAAUAAAUUUUCAAAUAUAUUUGAUUUCUCAAAAUUCAUCAUGAUCCAAGCUUCAAAUGAAAACGUGUUCAACAUGAAAGUUGUUCCCCUUGGUCUCAUAUCUCCAACAACUCCAACAUCAUCUCAUUUGGCCAAAGUAUGAAGGACUUGCGCAUGGGUGCUAGUUGAAGGACCAUUUGGAUGAUUUCCACUUCCACUUUUCAUACAGGAUUACAUGGCUUGACAACAUGAUUUCAGCAUGGUUUACACUAACUUUUGGACCUAAUUACAUCACAUGAUGGGCCUAUCACACGCCCAUGCAAGCAUGCAGAGAGAAUUUUCAAAUUUUGCCAAAAAUGAAAGUGUGUGGAAAUCAAUCUCAUGGCCUAUAAAUAAGACCCUCAUUGCUCAGAAUUAAGGACCUCAUUCCCAAGCUUUGAAUCAGCAACCCCAAACCCUCACCAUUAAAGGAUAAGCUUGAAGAUUUUCUUUGAAAACCGAGUUUCAAAUCUCCAACUGUUUUGAGAUUGAAACUCCAAGAGUCCACCAUUUCCUUGAUCCAUUUCACUUCUAACAAGCAUCUGAAGCAAGGCCAAACAUAAUUGAAAGCAAGAUCGUGCCAAUUUGAAGCUCCAUUGAAGGUGAAUUUUCAAAAUUUUCAUCUCUUUGAUUCUCCCUCAAUUCUUCACCAUUCUUGUUGAUUUUUAGUUGUCUGAAGUCCUAUCAAUGUAGGCAAGAAGAUUGAGUUGCUUUGAGGUCAAAUCGAAGCAACUCAGUUCAUGAUCCUCAAAAUUCAAAUCCCUGUAUCUUUUUAUACACUUGGAAUUUGAGAAAUUUGAGGUCAGAUUCAUGCUCCUGAGCAUUUUCCCUUCAAAUUAAUGUAUCCAUUUUUCAUUUUCCUUUGAGUUGAGCUUGAACCAGACCGGUGGUGCUCACCGGAGAAGAUGGCCGAAGUUAGGGCUCCGAUGGUGUGCUGGCUUGUCCAGAACCAUCUGAUCUGAAUCUCAGGAUCUAAUCUCACGCGUCCAAAUUGAUUACCACGUGUGUGGCACAAUUGACUGAGGCAUUGGUGGAAAGCACGCGCGUGGCCAUCAGAUCUGCCACCUCAAUUAAUGUGAGAGAUCUGAUGGCCCGUAUUUUUUUUGUUUACAUAUUAUUUUUUUUAUUUUUCGUUUAAUCCUUUUAUUUUGAUUAAUUCAUAUUUAUUUCAUUUUUAAUCCAAAAAAUAUGGGACUUUCACAAAAAAAAUUCAAAUAUUUUCCUCUUUCAUUUUCUGAUUUAAAAUUAUUUUUUUGAUGAAUAUUGAUAUUUUUCAUGAUUUAAUUGUUUUUGUGCAUAUUUUUAAUUGUUUAAAAAUACUUCUAACUUUUUAAAAAUUAUGAAAUUUUUUGUUCAGGGUCCUUUGACCUAAGAUAAAUCUCUUGGCGAUUUAUUUGGUGUUUUGAAGAGGUUUUAGGGUUUGGCCAAUUUAAAUUGAAAUUUAAUUCAUUUUAAUUUGAUUUUUAAUUGAUUAGUUGUAUAGAAAUUAUGUUGAGCCAUUUUUGUUGACUUGUGAUGUUUGACUAUGUGUUUGGGCCUUGGUCAAUGUUGAUUUGACUUUUGUUAAGUUAAAAUCAUUGGGUUUAGGGGAUUGAUGAUAUGUACAUUUCAUCUCUCAAAAUGAAUGGAUGAUUUUAAUUUGAUAAAAUUCCUCCCAUGACCAAUUUAUGUUUGUCUCAUCUCCCCUUCCUCUUCAUCUUCAAUCCCAUUCUUUCCCAUCCCUUCCAUUGACCAAUGACAUCUCAAUAUCCCAAGGCUAAUUGGUUCAUCAAUAACUUUAUGUUAGAUGAACCAAUACAAGUAUGGAUGAGAUUAGGUCCAUCCUUUGGUCAUUUUUUCCUUUUGAGUGUGGUAUGUUUUAGGAGUAUGGUUCAUUAUACCAUAUCUCUAACAUGCAUUAGCACCUAAAUUUCUAUUGCCCGACCUCAGAUAGUUGAUACUUCUACAUAAGUCCAAUUACGAUUGCUUAACAUAGAGUUAAAUUUUAACCCUAAAGGCAUAGCAUUCUUGUAAGUGGGAUUGUAAGUCUCCCCCCACUACGCCAAAUAAGGGAAAAGAGGGCGCUUAUUUUGGCCUAUAACAGUGCUUUUAAGCGCCCUCUAAAGUGGCGCUGGCAUAGGUAAAGACAGCGCUUUGUUUUCCUGGAGAAAGCGCUGUCUAAAGUGGCCACAUUAUAGUGCGCUUUCAGAAAAAAGCGCCCUCUGGAGUGGUCCAUAAAGGGACACUUAGAGGAGCUUUCUGGAAAAAGCGCCCUCUAAAGUUGUCAAUGUUAAAGUGUUUAGAGGGCGCUUUCAGGAAAAAGCGCCCUCUAAAGUUGUCAAUGUAAAGUGUUUAGAGGCGCUUCUAGGAAAAAGCGCCCUCUAAAGUUGUCAAUGUAAAGUGUUUAGAGGGGCGCUUUCUGGACAAAGCGCCCUCUAAAGUUGUCAAUGUAAAGUGGUUUAGAGGGCACUUUCUGGACAAAGCGCCCUCUAAAGUGUUUAGUUAUUUUAAAAAAAUUGUUUGAAAAACAGUGGAUAUUUAAUUGGUAACCUGUUGGCAUGCUGCAAAAGUGUAAAAUUCAUAUUGAUUUCAUCCUUUAAUCCAAUGUUAUACACCAUAAUCAUUGAUAUAUACAACAUUAAUCCUCCAUAUAUACAACAUUAAUAUAUGAUUCUUUGAUCAACAAUAUACACAACAUAUUCAUGAUUUAGUAAAGUACAACAACAAUAUACACAUAUAUACAACAACAGCAUACAACAAACAACAUUCCAUACUAUAUGUACAACAUAUACAACCUAGCUAUAUAUGAUUCUUUGAUCAACAGAAUGACGACAUUCAUCCUUCAUUUCAUCCAAAUGAGCUCUUGAGUAAGAUUUGUAUUCCUCAAAGUACUACAAAUUAAGAGAAUAAACAUAUUCAUGAUUUAGUACAAAUUAGAUGAAAUAUCUGACAGACAUAAUUAAUAUACAAAUACAACGAAUAUUAGGGGAAUUUCACUUACGGCGUCAACGUCUCUUCAUACUCGGAUAUGUUACUCCAAUCACCCGAUAACGAAUCGAGAUAAUACACUUAGUCUCGAAGAUCAAGCAACCAACACCGCAGUGACCACUGUAUCCAAAAGCUGUCUAGUAGUUUCUAACCAUAUAAACAAAUAACGCCCAUCCACCCAUGGUGGCAACAUGUUAUGUAUAUCCAAAAGUGAUACUAGUAGUUCUAUCGCACAUCCAUACAAAUAAGGCUCAACCAAAAAACAGAUGCAGCAUAAGUAGUAUAUCCAAAAAGGCAUGGUGAAUAAUAGCAAGUGUGCAUAAUAGGCAGAGGAACUGAUACAAGAUAACUUUUUGUUAAACUAAAGUUUUGUAUAGCCUAAACAAAACAAGCAAAGGGAAUCGAGGUAACAAACCUAUUGAGAACAGAUCGAGUACACCUCGCAAAACUGAAUGGAAAAAAAUAGUAUCAGAAGGCUUCUAAAAUAAAUGAAAACAGUACAAGUUUAGGUAAAAUUAAAUGACAUAGCUAAUAUUACCUGAAUUCCUGCAUGGCUGUUAAGGUAAAAAUCAAUCCUAGGGUGACAAAUGCUGGUGUCUACCACGGUUCUUUGACAUUUAGAACAACAAAUCAGCAAAAAAGUGAUAAAUUCAAAUGAUAUAUAUACAGCUGCGUUGAGAAAUAUAUUGAAAAACCUGGCAUAAUAUUUCCACUCUAUCGGUCUCUUUGGGUUGACAGGAAAGACGGGUGUGAUAUCUCUUUUGGACCACUACAAAAGUAACUUUAGGUAGAUACCCAUCCUCUAUUAGACACAAGCCUGAUGAAAAAAAAUUAGUUGGUCUUCAGCACUCCAUGUACUUCAAAUUUUAACACCCUUGUCUCUUGCACGAAUGAUUGACUUCAUAAUAGCCAUUUACUGUAAUAAAGAAAACAAUUAAAUCAGAUGACAAUGUAAAAACAAUUAAAAUCAUAAAAGUCAUUUUACAUGUAUAAAGAAAACAAUUAAAAUCAUUUGACCUGUACCUUUUUCACUAAGUUCUCUUUCUUUCUUGGUUGGAAUAUGUUCUACAUGUCUCUUAACACACACGGACGGUUGGAUUGAUCCAAAUACCCUCAUUAUGAUCAUUUCUAAUAUAUGCAUCAUUUGAUAUAAUAUUCUCAUCUUGAUCAUUUCUGGUAAACGAUUCAAUCUACAUCAAUAUCACCUUGAUCUCUCCAGUGUUUUCAUCAAUUACUUUGUGGAAAAAGAACUAUAGACCAUUUGGUACUUUCGGAUCAUUGACAUAGAACCUUGUCUAGCUUGAGAGGCUAGAAUAAAAGACUCAUAUUUGUAUCCCACCCUAUUAAGAUCCACUUUGCAAAAUCCUGACUUAUCCAUUCGAAUCGCCGUUAUUAUUUUCAACCCACUUGCAACCAAAUAGGAAUCUGAAACUUCUCAUAAUCAAACACCCAAAUGCCGCUCGAUAAACAAAAUACACAGAUUUGCAAUUUGGGGGUUUAAGGUCCUUCACACUUGAUAUGUGCUUUGCUUCAGCUACCCGGUGAACCACUAUUCUGCAUCAGUACUUAUCAUCUUGUUCUUUGGUAUAAAAUGUGUAUCCAUUAAUCGCGUAUGCGCUAUAAAAAAUACAUGGAAACUUGGACCAUAUGCUAAGCAUCUCAACCUUCUGUUAUGAACGGGGAUCUGAAUAAUACUUUGAAUAAAUAUGAUCCUUAAACCAAGCCGUAUAAACAUCGAUUGUGCUCUCGUACUCAUCCUAAUUUGUCAUUUCUAUUGGGAUUUAAACCUCGGAGAACAUCCUGUGAUUUCAAUACGCUCAACCUCAUCUCUCAUUGUGCAGAAAUACAAAGCACUUGAUCCGUUCGACCCUUGAUACUGCCACGAGUUUAUUUCCAAUUAGAUUUUUUCCUUCUUUCUUUUUGAACAAGUGGACUUGGGAGUCCGUUGACUGAACAUUAGACACAAAUAUUCAGUACAAAACUCAAUCGCUCUUCAACAAUGUAUCUUUCAACCAUACAACCUUUUGGUCGACUUCGGUUCUUCACGUACCCUUUUAAUUUUCAUAUACGUUCAACAGGGUACAUCCAUCUCAUAUAAGCUGGUCCACAUUCAAUUGUGUUCUCUUUCACAGAUGAACAACUUAGAUGUAGCCAUUAUGUCAAAAAAUGAUGGGGAAAAACUUUCAAGCUACACAACAAGUAAUAACGAUUUCUUUUUACAACAUUGGUAAGAUCGCAGGAUUGAUCACCUUACUCAAAUUGACUUGAAGAAAAACACAACUUAGUUAUAGAAGCUCUUACUUUUUCUGAAGAAUAGAACGUAUUACCUAUUGGGAGAAAAUGUUCCAUUAUAACAUGGCAAUCAUGGGUCUUUAACUCUUUACUUGAGGGUCUUUCAUAGACAUAAAGUCUUCUAAUAUCUAAAGAGUACCUUCUGGAACUUUAACUUUCACUUAGAAACUUACACAAUGUUUUUUUCUCCUUUUUAGAUACGAGUAUAAGCAGCAGGAGGUAGAUAUGUUCGUUUCCUUCUUCAAGGUCCUAAUUUCAGUUCUUAUUCCAUCGUUAUCAAUCCUUCUUCGCCUUAAGGCCAUCCUUAGACUUUCCUUGUAUAUUGAGUAACGUGCCAAUAACACUUUCAAAUACAUUUUUUUCAAUAUGCAUAACAUCAAGAAAUGUCUCACAUACAAGGAUUCCAAUACGGGCAAUAAAAAAAACUGACCUCUUCUUCCACCCCUUUUGACAAGUGUGUGGGCAAAAGGCUUGCCAACUGAGUAUCAAAUCUUUCACUUUCUCAAAAAUCUGUGAUCACCCCGUCAAUAUAGUGGAGCUCUGCCUUGUUCUGUCUCUCUAUUGAACGCCUUCCUCCAUCCACGUAGUGAUAUUUGAAUUUAAGAAUCUCCGAUGACCGAGAAAGACAUUCUUCUGACCAAACUCCAAGCCGCUUCCAAUCUGUUUUAUCUUCACAAAUAGGACACGCACAUUGACCUUUUAUGCUAUACCCUGAUAGAUUUCCGUAUGCUGGAAAUCAUUAAUUGUGCCAAACAACAUCGCGCCUCAGUUGAAACUUUCUUUCCUAUAUCCAUCAUAAACCUCCACACCGGUCUCCCACAAAAUCUUUAAAUCUUCGAUGAAGGGCUUCAAGUACAACGUCUAUGUCAUUCCCUGGUUGUUUAGGUCCAGAAAUCAACAUAGACAACAUCAUGUACUUACGCUUCAUACAUAGCCAUGGAGGUAGGUUAUAAAUCAUAAUAAUCACAGGCCAUGUACUGUGUGAGAAUACUCUGGAUACCGUGUGGGUUCAUUCCAUCAGUAGAUAAUGCCAAGCGAAGGUUUCUUGAUUCUUCUCCAAAUUCAGGAUAAUCAUUAUCAAUUUUCAACCACGUGGUGAAUUUCCGGAUGUCGAUACUUUCCAUCAUAAUUCUUUCAUCUGCAUGCCAGGUCAAGUGUCUUGAAUCAGUUUCACUACGAAACAUGCGUGCUAAAUCUCGGAAUAACAGGAAAAUACCACAAGACUUUUGCUGGAGACAACUUGUUUUAUAUCGCGAGACACCGCAUUUAGGACACUCAUUUAACGAUGCAUACUCAUUUCGAAACAAAACGCAAUCGUUGGACAUGCAUGUAUCUUAUCAUAGCUCAUGCCAAUAAGGCACACAUUUUUGGUCUCAUAUGUUUCGAUUGGGAAGAACUUAUCUCUCAGGAAGCAUACUCUUUCAAAAGGGGCUAAUAAUCUGUGAAACUUUUAUCCGACCAUCCAUUGCCUGCCUUUAAGUUGUACAAUUUAAUACCGCAGACAAUCUUGUGAAUUUAGUGGCAACCAUCAUACAAAGGUUUUUCUGGCAUCACUUACCAACCUCUCAAACAUUUCGGGACAAAUCCUUAAGAUCUCCUUCAAGUGCUUCUGCAAAUCUCUUCAACUCCGAUCACAAUCGUAUGUAUCUGCGCCACUAUAGUUUGGCAGGGCAUAGGGUCGUCUAUCCCCCGGUUCUUCAUCUUUCUCCUUUUNNNNNNNNNNNNNNNNNNNNNNNNNGAUAGUGAAAAUAACAAAACGCGCAUUAUGUUAUAAUUUUAAUGUUUACUAAAGGGGACAUUAGAGGGCGCUGUGGAAAAAAAGCGCCCUCUAAAGAGGGCCUAAAGGGGCUAUGAAAGCGCUCUCUAAGGCUUUCCAGAAGCGCUUUAUAAGUUGGAAUGCACAUGGACUUAUAACAGCGCUUUAUUAAAAGCGCCCUCUAAGGGUAACCUUAGAGGCGCUUUCUAAAAAGCGCAUGUAUUGUUGUCCUCUAUCUCCUCCUUAUUUUUUCGUUUCACCUUAGAGGGCGCUUGGAAAAAAAAGCGCCCUCUAAAGGGGCCUAAGAGGGCGCUUAUGAAAGCGCUCUCUAAGCUUUCCAGAAGCGCUUUAUAGUUGGAAAUGCACAUGGACUUAUAACAGCGCUUAUAAAAGCGCCCUCUAAGGGUAACCUUAGAGGGCGCUUUCUAAAAAGCACCAUGUAUUGUUUGUCCCUCUAUCUCCUCCUUUAUUUCGCUCACCUUAGAGGGCGCUUUGUUACAAAAGCGCUCUCUAAAGUGCGCUGUCUAUUGCUCCUUAUUUUUCGCUUCACUUUAGAGAGCGCUUUUGUAGUAAAGCGCCCUCUAAGGUGCGCUGUCUAUUCCAAUUUUUGACGUAGUGCCCCUUUCAUGGUAUUAUGUGGAAACUUGGCCUUUUUUCCUUCCUUUGGAAGAUGUCUUGGUUCAAGGAUCCAUGCUUGUGAAUAAAGGGUUGAGUGUUCUCCAAAGAGUGAUCUAAUCAAUUGAAAAGCAAAACACCACUAACAUCUAAUCAACUAACAUUUGAUUAACUUUUAUUUUUAUUGCUUUUAAUUUCAAGUCAUUUACCUUAUGUCACUUAAAUUCAAGUCAUUUACCAUUUCAUUUGCCAUUUACAUAUCAUUUAACUUGCUUAUGUUUAUGCCAUUUUCACUUUGCUCAUUUGAGCCAUAUAUUGUGAUUGUAUAUAUUUGUUUGUGUACCUUGUUUGUGUUUGUGGUAUGAGGACCUUAAAAUACUUAAUAAACAACCAAAACCCUAAAAAAAAUUUAUGUGGACUGUUGGAUUUGAUCUGAGCUUUUGGACUUAGAAUUAGGCAACAUCCCCUAUGCAAAAAGACUUGGCCAAUGUCAACAUUUCUGAGAUCAAGUUAUCACGAUCUAAGCUUUCAUCUGAUGUAAGUAUUUGGAUUCAGUUGAGUUCAUCUGUUACAUGGUCUUGAUGCAAUUGUUACUUUGAGCUUGUGUCUAAUGCUUUAUUAAGAGCCAAUCAAGGAGUAUAUCAUCUGAUAUAUGGGAAGAUCAAGAAAAAGAUUGUGAAGUUGCUUACUUUGAUGUGGCCAUCUUUAUUUGAUGCCUUGCUCUUGAUAUUGCUAUUUGAUUGCUGAUUAUUGCUUGAUUCAAGGUCCAAAGGGAAAGUGAGUUUUCUAUAUGACAUUCUUGUCUGUUGGAUUGCAUCCCAUGGGUCAGAACUUUUCAACUCUAACUUUUAAUUUUAUGUUUAGGAUUAGUCUCUUCAUCUCCUCCCACUUCUUAAAUUUUAAAUCUCCCCCCUUUUUUAAAACCUUCUUUGCUUGCUAUUUCAAACUUAGACUUUAUUGGAAAAAUUAGAAACUUUGGCCUUAUGCCAAUGGACUUUUAAACUCUUUUCUUAAAUCAAACCUGUAAAUGAAUUUAACCAUAUUGACUUAAAAUUUCAAAAGACAAAAAGAACUAACACGCAUUCAAACUCUUUUGGGCCUUUUGUGCCUCUUUUAAAUUUAACUUUUGAUUAAAAACAAUCCACUCAUUUUGAAAUUGUUACCAUGAACUACGAGGUUUUGAUCCCUCAUUUUUAUGUUGGUACGUAGGCACAAGUCCGAUGGUCUUGUCAAACAUAAAUAUAUAAUCAAGUGAACUUUUUUUCUCAUCCCCACACUCUAUUUUUUCUCAAACAUCAUUUUAUGCCAAAACACAUACACACAUAAAAAAAGGGCUCCCUAGGAGUACCUAGGACCCUUUGGGUGCUAACACCUUCCUUCUGUGUAACCAACCCCCUUACCUGUAAUCUCUGAAAUUUUAUUAGUUUUGAUUUGGAAACUUCUUAUCUUUGGGUUUUGUUCGUACUUUUCCCUUUUCCUUUGGAAACAAUAAAAGUGUGGUGGAGACUCUUGUCUUAUUGAUGUUAAGUUUACCAUAGCUUAACGGUCAUGAAUUUACCGCUACACUUCCCUAGUUUUAAGGUCCAUAUCAGGCCUUGUCCUUCUGAGAUUUUGCUUAACAGGUGGGUAUUCUGGAUUAAGUGGCAAUUUAUGCAUAACAAUGCUAGUGUCGAACCCUGGCAUAUCCUGGUAUGACUAGGCGAAGAUAUCCACAUACUCUUGCAGUAAGUUAACCAUCUCUUUCUGCACAUUCUUUUCUAGAAAUGCCCCAAAUUUAAUUUCUUUUUUGGCUUCCUCUGUCCUAGCUUGAUGACUUAGAUCGGAUCUUGAUGAAUUUGAAUCUCUUACUUUUCUUACUCAAGCAACUUGGCUAGUUCUUCUAAAAGCUCACAAUCUUCCUCAUCAUCUUCUUAUGCGCGACUAAUUGGGAACUAGAGGAGAUAAGGGAUUAUAGUCGUGUUAUGUUCAGUGAAUUCGUUUAUUCUACAUGAUUAUUAUACUUUAAUUUUAGAAAAUAUGCUAUGGAAGCUUAGAAAUAUAAACUAUAAAAGAAUAUUUUGCCAUUUUGAAAAAAUAAAAAAUAAAAAUAAAUGAAACGAAAGGAACGCCAUUUUUAAUACAAAAAUUCAUUUUAUUAAUUGACAAAUAAGGUCAUCAAACAAAGAGUGCUCUAUAAAGCUCUCCGCUUGCCUUGGGUAGGGCAAUGGAUUUUUUAGAAAAACAAUGAAUUACUUUGAGAUUGUAAAGACUUCAGGGAUCACGGACGUUGUCCAGUUGUUGAGUAUAAUUCUGAGUGAGCAUCGACUUACUAGACUGGGCAUCUCCUCAUUUCCAUCUCCGAUCACAACUAUCUGGUCGUCUAAUCUAAAUCCAGCAUCGCUGAAGAUCUCCUGGAUACAAUAAAACUUCUUUGAUCAUCUUGGUUAAUUUGUUGUAAAGAUGGCUGAUAAUUGAGUCCAAACCGGUUAUUCUUUUCUGUUAUGUUCAUUAUUUGUCCCCAACCUGCAGAACUUCCUUUUUUCAAGGCUUCUUUUGCAUUCUUCCACGAGGACAUGGAUAACUCUUGUGUCUUGAUAUUAUUAGGCUUCGAGCUCAUAGUGGUCACACUGUCCACUUCUAAUGCUUAGAAUGGGACUUCCAUAGCCCAUACAUCAUUUUCAAUGUAUCAAAAGGAUGAAAGGUAGCUUACUAACAUGUCUUCCUUGCCAUAAAUAAUGACCAGUUGUAGCGGUAAAUUCAUGACCAUCAAGCUAUGGAUAAACUCGACGUCAAUAAAACCAGAGUCACCACCGCGCUUUUACUGUUUCCAAAGGAAAAGGUAAAAGUAUGAACAAAACCCAAAGAUAAGAAGUUUUCAAAUCAAAACUAAUAAAAUGCCAGAGAUUACAGGUAAGGGGGUUGGUUACACAAAGGGAAUGUGUUAGCACCCAAAGUGUCAUAGGUACUCCUAGGGAGCCCUUUUUAUGUGCGUAUGUGUUUUUGGUAUAAAAGAUGUUUGAGAAAAAUAGAGUGUGGGGAUGAGAAAAUAAUUCAUUGAUUAUAUUUUGUGUUUGACAAGACCAUCGGACUUGUGCCUACGUACCAACAUAAAAAUGAGGGAUCAAAACCUCGUAGUUCGUGGUAAAAAAUUUAAAGUUGGUGUAUUACUUUUAACAAAAAUUUAACUAAGAAGGGCACAAAGGGGCCAAAGGUUUGAAUGUGUUUGUUAGUCUUUUUUAUCUUUUGAAAUUUUAAGUCAAUAUGAUUAGAUUUAUUUACAAGUUUGAUUUAAUAAAAAGAAGUUCAAAAAUGCAAUGGCAUAAGGCUAAAGUUUCUAUUUGAAAUAAGGUCUAAGUUUGAAA